GCUUCAAUCGUGGAAAACCUUCCCCAUCAUCUAAUUCAUGAACAACAUUCUGAACACCCUUCAGUUCUUCUAGAUAGAGAUAUUCAGUUCUCUUCAACAACAGUUUCAUCCUGUAAUUCUGCAAAAGAAUGCCAAACUUUUCCAGCCUCUGGAGCUUCAUCAAUCUUGAUAAUCCAGAUUUAACGGACCAGCUGCUCCCCCACUUAUUUCCUAUACAUAUCCUAUAGGUAGAAGUGUUCUAGCUAUUAAUUUUAUACAUAUCUUCUAUAGGUGUAUUCUAAUUAAUUUCAUACAUCAGAUUUUUAGAUAAAAAUAAAGAAGUAAAAAAAAAAAAUCUUCACAUCAUCUUAAGAAAUUCAAAGCCAUGAUACCACAUCCAAUCACGAGAAUCCAUUUUCCUAUGAUCACUGACCUUUAGGUGCGGUGCUUGGUUUGAAGAAGGGAAAGGGGGUGAGGAAAGUAAUUUGAAUUCCUUUCUUAUUUCCGUUGUUUGGUCGGUCAUAAUAUAAAAGAAUUUAAUUUUCAUUAAAAUUUAAUAUAAUCAUAAUGUGGAAUUUAGAUUUCUCAAUAAAGAGUGAUGAAUCUUGGUUUGGGUCUGUUUUGAGUUUAUUUUCAUUUAUUUGGCUAUGUUUUGAUAGCGAAUUUUGAUAUGUCAAUAUAACGUGUAAUUGUUUUGGGUUGAGCUGGUAAUUAUGCUGGAUUAGAUUGGUUUGGUUUUGGUGCUUCUCUGAUGGAACACUGUUUUUUUUAGAAAUUUUGAAUGUAAUAUGAGACUACAUUUAGUUUAAUUGAACACUGCAUCUAGUCUAAUUACUAGAAGUGCGGCAUUUGGUUUGGUUUAUCCUAUAUUCUCCAGAAUUUCACUUGCAUCUGGUUUUGUUGCAUAUGUUUGCUUGCAUUUGAUGGCAGUAGCAGACUGUUUGGUUUUGUGACAUUUGAUGGCAGUUUGGUCUGUUCUUGGUGUUGGUUUAAGAUUGUUCCUGUUGUGCUGAUGUUAAUUGCAGGUGCUUGAAUCAGCUAGGGUUGCUGGUUUAUUCAGAUGGUUGACUCAGGCGUUGUUACUGGUUAAUUCAGGUGGCUGACUCAAGUUGUUCAUUUAAUGUUAGGAAGCAAAUUAAGAAUUAAUGAAGUAUUCAUUAAACUAUAAUUAUUGUAGUUAUUUUAUUUCAUAACUGAAUUAUAAUCUAUGAUACUUGUGAACAAAUUAGAGAAUUUUUAUAUAUGAAUUAUAUAUAUGUGUAUGUACAUUUUGCUAAUAAUUUAAAGAAUAUAUUUCAAUUCCCACAAAAAAAUGGCUCCAAUUUCAAUAAUUCCCGCCAAAUAAUUAAAUUUUUUUAAUUUACCACCAAAAUAUAUCUUAAAGAAAUUUUAGUUAUUCUUGCUAGAUUUAACAAAAAUGAUUUGUAGGAUUAACAUUUAAUUAAAAUAAUUAAAUAAUUUUAUUAUUCCAAUUAAAUAUGUCAUGUUUAUACGACAGACAAUAUUCAUGAAUGGGAAGUAUUAGUUACGUAUUUUUCCUUGGGAUUUCAGGCAAAUGAAAAAAAGAUUGAGAAUGAUUUCAAGAGGACAGGUGGAUGAUAAGUAUUCAUUUUUGUAUAUUUGUCUAAUGUCCUCAUUAGUGGAUUUUUAUGGUAUUGAUCUUUUUUUUUUUUUUUUUAAUUUUCAAUUAGUUGCAGCCCUAGAGGAAGAGCAGGCUGAUCAAAUUGAUUUGUCUUGUUUUUCGGGCAAUCUACGACAUGAUGACCGUGAUAAUGCUCGUGACUGCUGGAAACUUUCUGAUGGAAAUAACUUUAGAGUUCGUAGCAAGCAUUUUUGUUAUGACAAAACAAAGGUUCCCCCAUAAUUUGUUUGUUUGUUAUGGUAUUUAUAUAUCCUGCAUAGGCUAGGUAGACAAGUUAUGAUGUACGUGUUUCUCAUAUAGAACUCAAGUCUGCUGUUGUCCCAAAGUUGGAACCAGAGAUAUCAUGACUCUGGUUUCAUUUCACCUCAACUGUGUUUUUUUUUUUAAUUAAAAAAAUAUUUGUUUUAGGUAUACAUACAUGUAUUUUGAUUCUAUUUUCAUUGUAAUUUCUCAUUUACUUUGAAUGAAAGUCAUUGGUGUUUUCGAAUGGGAAUUUUGCAUUAAAAAAUGAAGAAUAGUGAAUAGGAAAUUUCUUGAUUCUUUAGUUACUAUUUUUGGUACGAGUGCCAUUAGUAGUAAAGUUGGUUUCUACUCGCAAACAAGUGAACUGCUCGAUUCCCGAGUGGUAUCAACCGGUUUCCAACUUUUUAAUAUACACUAAUUGUUAUUGUUUAAUAGCUACUACUAUUAAAACUCAACAGCUAACAAAAAUACUUAAAAAAAAUGAUUUUUCUUAUGAUGCUGUGAAAAAAAUUACGGGUUUACUUCUUUCCACGAGAUCUAUAACAUGGUCUUGAUUUCACGAAAUUCUUUUAAUUUAAAGCGUGCUGGUGUGAGAAGGUCAGUUUGACUGAUUAAUUCUUUUUAACAGUGGUCGAGAUAAUUUUACUAUACUCGAAAAUAUUCUUAUUCUGAUAAAGCCAUAAAUGUUAUGCUGUUUUCUUCGGCUAAUGAUCUUCUAUCAGGAGAGGUUAGAAAUCAAAUGCUUAAAAGACCAAUUGAACGAAUAAUACAGAAAUUUAGGCAGAAUCUAAUCGAAUAUUGUAUGAAACAUGAAACAUCAAUUCAAGUCCUUUCUUAAACAAAGAAUGCAUCAAACAAAAUCCAAAGUGUCUUGCAAGUUUGUAGCAUGAGCAAAAAAUUGUAAAUAUGUAGAACCAAAUUAUUCAAGUACAGAAGAACGAGCAAGCUAAAUCAUGUAUAAGAGAUUGGCCUGGUUCAGGAUAGCUUCUUCACUGUAGCUGAAGGGUUGGCUCAAUCUCUUCUUUAGAAUUCUGCAGAUUUUGUAAUUACUCGUGUAAGCAAGCAUACAUUGCCACCAUAAGAAUAAUAAAGCAAGAGUAAUGAUAUGACCACCACCUCUUGUGCACAAACAAUAUUGUAUAAACUAAUGCGACAUAAUAUGAUUGGUUAAAUAAAAACAUUACAUGGCCCUCAUAAUUUAUUUAUUUAUUUAUUAUUAUUAUUAUAUAUUUUCAAUCAACCAAUCAUAUUAUAUCACAUUAGUUUCUAUAAAAUAAUUUGCUAAAUAGCACCGAAACUUAAUUGAUACUCACCAUUUCAUUGAACAAUUUUUUUAUGGUGUCAUUGAGGUUGCCUUCCCAACAUCCUUCAUCAUCAUCAUCUUCUUCAUCAUCAUCAUCUUCUUCUUCAUCAUCUUCAUCAUCAUCAUCUUUUUCUUCUUCGGUGACGUUCACUUUGUUUAGCAUUGGUGUGUCUAAGACUCCUUGAGAGAAGAUCUUCAUUUUUGGACACUGUCUCACAACUACUUGUUCCAAGGAUGGGAACUCAAGAGCGUAAUUACCCAAACAAAAGCUUGUUAGGCUUGGCAAACAAUCAAGUCCCAAGUACUCCAAUUUCCUGAAAACAAUGCAAUCGUCCGCUUCUUCUCCAACCUGCGACUGUAUAAUUUCUUCCAUCAUUUUGCAAUCAGUUAUCUUCAUUCUUUCAAGAUUCACUAGACUUUCAGAUGUUGAGAGCGUCAAUAAAUUUAUCAACCCAUGACACUUCGAUACUUCCAGAGUCGCAAGAUUUUCCAAAUGCCACGAAGCUGGUACUAAUUUCUGCAACUUACUACAUUCAAAUAUUUCUAGACUUUUCAAGUUUGCAAACACUUUGUUGGAUUUGGCAUUUUCCUUCCAGAGAUGCUGCACUUUGUGUAAUCCAGAUAGCUUUAACUUCAUCAAUUGAGGGAAUGCAACCUGGAAAUCAACAAAAUUAAGUUGUAAAUGAAAAUAUGUAUCCAAUCUCUGCAGUCUUCCCCUGCAUAUUUUAUGGACAAGAUUAAUCACGGCAUUUUAUAUUUUAUUUCCAAAUUAGUAUGCUUUGCAGUAGGAUCCCAAAUAUAAGUAUCAAAUCGAUUACCCUUUGAAACACAUAAAUGAAAUCUGAUCCUAAAUCCAAUAUGAAUUAGCUAGGAAAACAGAGACCUAACACGCAUAAUCGAUAUAGUUCAUCACCUCCUGUCACUAGGCAUCUAAUUAAUUUGAGACAUUUUUUUAAUUCAUACUAUAAAGUUAGUUAAUAACUACGGUUAUAUUGUUAAACAUGUAUAAAUUAAGACGACGUGCAAAAAGAUGAGUCAUUAAAUUUGAUUUGAUUCUAAUGAAAUUAUAUCUGUGUGAAUGAAAGUGAAGGGAAAAAUAAUAAUAAUGUUACCUUUUCAUCGAAGAGAUGUUGUAUUUGAUUAGCUACCAAGAGGUUCUCUUCUUAUUUUAAUUUUUGAGCUUCCUUAUUAUCUGUUGUCAUGUGCAGUACAGAUGUAGAAUUGGACAUGAAUGUUUCCAUAUCAGGGCAAUUCUCAAUAGUUAGAUAUCUCAACUCAGGCAGUUCAAUUAUAUUCCCAGUGAAGUUGCAGAAUCUUUUGAGUUUUGGAAGGUCAAUGAGCCUUAGCUCAAAAAGCCUAGGAAACAGGGGGCCUAUAUGUUCUUCCUUGGCAUUUAGCUCUUCCAAAUGAAGCACCUCUUCUAGUGAAUCACAAUUCCUCACUUCCAGCCAUCUCAAAUUGUUCAAGCACCGUAUCAGAUUGGCAGGAAUAGCACUCGACAUAUUCGUGCGGUCAUCCACCACCAGGUGUCUUAAAUUGUUGAAGAAGCUGACAGGCAGUGCUUGGCCAUGCGAGAGUUGCAAAUGGUUUAUAUCAAGGAAUCCAAUCUGCACAAACCAAAACAAUUGCACUGGAUAUAUACAAUUUUUUCUUUCUGAAAGGCAUAGAUAUAUGUACAUUAAACUUACAUGUUUUCUGCUUUAACUUCUAAAAAUAUAUAUACAAGGCAGGUGUAUAUGCUUAAAUGUGCAAGUGCAGGGGAGAUGCAUGAACAAUUUGGGUGAAUCGAUUAACACAUACCAUCUUUUUGUAACAUAUGUUUAAAUGUGCAAGCGCAAGGGAGAUGCAUAAGCAACUUGGAUGAAUCGAUUAGCACAUACCAUUUCUUCGUAACACUUUUGUAUAGUGGAAUUAAGCUUGUUGCCUUCCCAAUGGUGCAGUUCACCCUCUUCCUUUUCAGUCACUUGCACUUUGCAUGGCUUUGUAAUGGAUAAGAUUCCCUGAGAAAAAGUCUUCAUGUCCGGACAACGUAUCAUAGAAACUCGUUCCAAUGAUGGGAAUUCAAGAGUGCAAUUCUCCAAACAAAAGCUGGUAAGCCUUGGUAAAUCAUCAAGUAUCAAAACUUUUAAUUCGCUGAAAGCAAUACGAUUCUCCUUCACUUCUUCUCCAACAUGUCCUACGAUUUCUUCUAAUUUUUGGCAAUCUGAUACUUAAAGAUUCACCAGACUACUAGGAAUUCCAACCUGAAAAUAAGCAAAAGUGUGUGUGUAAGAGUAUCAUUCAACUAGGUCCAAAGUAUGUUUAAAACAUACAAUUAUAUGUUAACAUAACAAACCAUGAAAUGUCUACUAGAUAAUUUUUGUUAAACAAAAAAGGCAACAAGAUAAAUAAAUAAAUAAAAGCCAGAUAAACAAAGACAAUAAAAAUGCAUUUACACUAUUUAGUAUUAGGAGCGUAGAAAGAAUUUAAGGCAAUUUCUAAAUAUUUUAGACUUAUUUUGCAUCUUGAUGCCAGUUUUUAAACAAAAUUUGCAAAUUUCAACUAUUCCUUCUGGGAAAAAAAAAAAUCAACCACCAACAAAGUGUUGGCUCCAUUGGCAAUGGAGUCCCCUUAAGUGGUUUGACUGGGUUUGCUCCCCAGUUCGAGUCGCAGGGAAGUCGCCUUUGUUGGGAGAACUUGUGCCUCCCGGUUCGAGCGGGGACUUCUAGUCUGGGUUGUGGUACGGGCUUAAAGGUGCCUUCCACAGUUGGGGCCCUCCCCAGGAUACCUCGUGAUUAAUAUAAAAAAAAAAAAAAAAUCAACCAAAAUGCCGCUUUUUCCCUUUUUCCCUUUUUCCUUGGUCCCUUUUUUUUAUGUAUAUUUAAUUUUGGAAACAAAAUUAAAGUGGAUCUUUAUUAAGUACUUCUAGACUCGAGGAAAUUUCUUUACAAUCAAGGAUCAAUUGUAAAUAAUCAUGAAUUUGUGGUUAAUUAAUGGCAUAAUCAGUUCGUAACUAAACAAGAGAUAUUAAUUAAAUUUGAAAACUUUUCUUUUCUUUUUUUCUUUUUCCAAUCGAAAUGUGAAGAAUUAAGGAAAAGAGAAAUAUAUAGAUGAAUUUGUGAACCUAUAAGAUGAGUGACCAUCCUUUAAUUUUUGAAAAUUGUACUUAUUAAGAUAUGAGCAGAAACAAUUAAAUUGAAUUAUAUUAUGCUGUUGAAUCGUGAUUAAAAAAAUUAUAUUGUUGAUUCUAAUGCUGGCGAACCUAAAAACUGGACUUAAAAUGUAGAUUUGAGAGUGGUGGUUCGAAGUACAAUACUUGAAAUAAAUAAUCAGUGGCUGAAUAUCAUUUGUAAACCCAAAAAUGGUUAAAAUAUUGUUGGAUGUAAUUAAAAAAAAAAAGAUUCGAAAUGAAUACAACAACCUUACCAAUGGAGGAAAAAUAUUCUUUAGGUUAUCACACCACCAUAUGUCCAAAUUCUUCAAUUUGCUGAAAGACUCCGAAGCAAGCUGGUGGUGCCAUAUUUUUCUCAAACUAUCCAUCAAGUCAAUACGUAAUACCUCCAACCUAGGAAGUCGUACUUGGCAGUUAAAGAUUAAAUAACUAAUUAAUCAAUUAAUGGCAUAAUCAAUUGAUAACUAAAUUAGAGGCGAAUAUUAACUAAAUUUGAAGACUCAAGGAAAAGACAAAUUAAGUAUUGGGACUAAAAUUAAUUUUUUUUUUAUUUUAAAAAAAACCUUUUCGUCAAUGAGAGGAGGAGGUUGCAUUUCAGAAUGAAUGGUGUCUUCUGGUGAGCUCGUAGAAAUGAAUCUUAACAUAUUACUGCAACUAUCAAUCUUGAGUAUUUGCAAAGAAGGGAAUUCAACAACUAAAUCUGAAUGAAUAUGUCUCGUGUUUGCAAAGCUUGUUAGUUUAAAAAGCCCAUAGAGCUGCAGGGAGUGUAGUUUAGGAAAAACCUUUAAUUCAAUCAACUUUCCUUCAUCUCUUUCUGACCACCCCGUGGUGUCGACUACCCCUUUCAUUGACUCACAAGAUCGUAUUUCAAGAUGUUGGAGUUGCAAAAGACUAUUAACCAUAGAAUACGAAAACAGAUACUUCAAAUGAUCACAACCGUCCACGAUCACCUUUGUUAAAUUUUGACAACAGUACAUUCCUUGAUUAUGAUCGGCCCAUAAUUUUUUCAUGUUUCCUAAAUGAAAGAGAUUCAAUUCCUCUAAGCUCGGAAGAAUAACCUGCAAAGAAAACCCGUACAUUUUUGUUCCUUCAAGUACAACCGUCUAGUAUAAUAUUCUUUUGAUGAUCGAAGAUUAAUCGUGAUAAUAAAUUAAUCAAUUAAUUAUUGAACAGAAAAUUAUCACCUUUGGAGCAGUAUCAUCAUCAGCAAUGAUUUCGUUGAAUCCCAAAGAAGUUGUUGGUUUCUCCCUGUCGGGUCCUAUAAACAAACAAAAACAAUACACAUAAUUAAUCUUUGUCGUUGUUUUUUUUUUCAAAAUAAUUGAGGCGAAGUCCAUAAAUCCACCAACACUUAAUUUCAACACUUACCAACAAUCAUUUCCAGAUCAUCGCAAACAAACACUUCUACCUUUUGAAGCCGCAGUAGGUUUUUUGCCAUGGAGAAUGAGAAAAGAUGCUUCAAUUUGUGACAGGAUUGUACUCCUAUAAUCCUUAAGUUGCUGAAAGAUUGAUCUUCUGUGAGUUGGCUAUCACAUAUUGUCUCCAACUUGUUCAAAAACCAAAGAGACAAUGACUCCAGCAAGGGAAAGACUGUACAAUGAACCCGUCCAACUGAACCGACAAUAAGCAAAAUCUCAGAACAACUUUCUACACGAAGAUGCUUCAAUCGUGGAAAACCUUCCCCAUCAUCUAAUUCAUGAGCAACAUUCUGAACACUCUUCAGUUCGUUUAGAUGGAUCUCUUCAGCUUCUUUCAGCAACAUUUUCGUCCCAUAAUUCUCCAAAAGACUGCUAACAUUUUCUAGCCCAUCGAGCUCCACCAUUCUUGAUGUUUCAGAAUUAACGCCCCACAUGCGCCACGCUUCUCCUAUACAUAUCUUAUAUCUUUGCAAUUCCACAGAGACUAAAUCCUGCGGCAGAAUUUGGGCAUCCCAAAAUUGUAUCUCCAAAGUAGUUAGCUUUGACAGCCCCUUCAAUUCAGCAAGACUGGCGGUACUUCCUCCUUCAACCUUAUCCCACUGCGAAAAGCUGUCACCCAUAUAUAGUUCUUCUAAUUGAGAAAAUUUUGAUAUGAGAUUUGGUGCUAUCACUACAAGGCUCCUACAAUUGCUCAAAUCUAGCAAUUGUAACCGCGUCAAUUGUCCAAUUUCAAGUGGUAACUGCUUAAUGUCGGAAUCUCGAAAGCUAAGAAUCUCUAAUUUCUUUAGCUGUCCAAUUGCAGCUACAUCUUCUAGUUGGCACCAGUCUAAACACAAUGUUUGAAGGUUAAUGAGGCGACCAAGUGAUGAAGGUAAUGAAGAGAAAGGAAUUCUAGUAAGGCUUAAAACUUUGAGUUCUUUCGUCCCUUCAAAAAAGAGGUCUGAAAUUUGCAUACGGCCAUUACCCUCUGCAGACAACAAAAAUAACUGGAGAUUGGGACAUUGCAACCUUUCAGGGAGCUCUUGAAUAUCUCUCUGGGGUAAUGAAAUGGCAAUUGGAUCUUUCCGUAUUGUCUCUUCCAUCUUUUUCUCUAAGUCGGCAACAUUUGGAAUAUUAAACAUGCGCUUCUCUGCGGCAAUUGAUACGGCAACAACAUGAAUGACGUCAUGCAUUUUAGCUUCAUCUUCAGCAUCACCGUCCAACAAUAAGCAUGAAGAUUUGAGGUUGUCGAUCAACCGAUGCACUCUACUCCUUGCUUCUUCCAAUGUGUAAACAUUUUCAAACAAACCCCAACCCACACCAUAUCUCAAUAAGUCAGAAACUUGUAUGGCAUGACCUUCACUGUAUAGACCACAAAGACGGAACAGAGAUUUUGCCUCCUCACUUUCCAAGAAGUCAUGACUCAAUUUUAUGGAGGUGUACACAUUUGCUUGCAUGCCAUGAAUUUCUCUUGCAUCCGAUCUUCUUAGCUGAUUCAAUGCAUCUUUCCAAAAGUCACGCUCCUUAGUUUUCAGAGCAUUUGCAACUGUACUCAGUGCAACAGGCAAACCUCCGCAUCUUUCAAUGAUCUCAUUUGCUAUACUUUGAAAAGCAGAUAUUUUAGUUGAAUCACCCACUAUCUUCUCAAAUAACUGCAAUGCUUCUUCUUUUGAUAAAGCAUCGAUCCAGAAAUUUUUCUGAGAAUUCAUAUCAAUGCACAAUAAAUCUCGACUUCUAGACGUCAAUAUUAUUGUGCAUCUUCUCUGAUCAUCCUCUCUAUCUUUCUCAUCAACAUCUCCAGAAGGAAUUCCAACCGCAUCUAACUCAAGUUUUGUCCAAAUAUUAUCCAAUAUAAUGAGGACCCGCUUCUCUUGCUUCAACCUUUCACGCAGUCGAGAAGCUCUAUGGUGUAUACUAUCAUUCAAGUCAAAUUUCAUGCCUAAAUCAGAAGCGAGCUUGUCUUGAAUUUUCUGGGGAUCUGGGUUCUGUAUUACCUCAGCCAUAACGACCUUAUCGAUCAACUUAUCUUCCAUCACUUUCUUAGCAACUUGCUUGACUAGCGUGGUUUUACCCACGCCGCCCAUGCCGUAGACCCCAAUUAUGUUGAGCUUAUCAUCCUUCAACGCCUCCAUAACAUCCUGAAAUACUUUCAUUCUUGAAUCAAAGGCCUCGUUAUCUUUCCCGUCAUUAAGUCCUGUGCUCUUUGGAGUAGGACGGUAGGAAACAUUAGAGAAGUUGCCUUUUCCCACGAGACCAGCGGCAGCUUCUGCGGCCUUUGCUGCUUGUUUACUAAGCUUGUAACGGGACAUCAAAUUUGGGCACAAUCCUUUGAAGCAGAACUUUUUAGCUCUUUCUUCAUCAUCAAUGAUGGAUUUUGCAACCCCUUCACUGAUGAAUUCAUCAACGCUAUGUAGCCAGUCUGUGACACCCUCAUAAAGCUCAUCCCCUUGUAGCCUAGCAUGAUUAACUGGUUGCUGCACCAUUUCUCUCUUAUAUCCCAGCUGCUUCACUUGAACUUUUAGCUCAUCUAUGUAGCUCUGGUACUUGAACACAUCAGAUAUCUGCCGUGUAAUCGGGUUGAACAGUGACUUUGCACCUUCUGAUACACAGUUGGUUAAAAAAGCCAGACACGCUUCUAUAGCCAUUGCCGGUUGCUUAACAAUAUAUAUCUAGUUUUUGGCUGUUGAAAAAAAAAAUGGAUUCAAAUAAAUUAAAUGAACUAGCGGGGAAGAAAAAGAAAGAAACGACAACAAACAACUUUUUAGAAAAAGGUUUCAGGGGCCUGAAUGGAAAACCAACAAUUUUUUGAGGAAAGAAAACUUUUUUGGAAGAUGGAUGCAAAUUAACCAUUAAUAAUACUGCAUAAGAACACAGAAGUUAACAAUAAACAGUAACUUAAAACUCAAGAAAAUUAAAUGACAAGAUUAAGACAAACAAGAGAUAGUUUUUGUCGGACAUUAAGAAACAACUGCUAUCAAGAUCAAAGAUUAGAAAUUAUGCUAUUGAAAGAAAUUAUUAAAGUAAUUAGAACAAACGCACCUCUUCAAUUAUCUAGGAUCACAGAGUUUAUGAGCUUCACUCUUGGCCUUCGAUUUAUAAGAAAAAUUUUAAUGAGCAAAAGAUCACUGUUGACUGCAGAAGAAUGUGAGUAAGCAAUACAAUUGAAUUGUAAAAGAACAAGACUUAAAGCGUGCACCCCAACAGAACACAUGUUCAUUUUUAACAAAGUGAUCAAUAACUAUAUUCGUUAUUUAAUUGAUAUUGUAACCAAUUCUAAGAGAAUAUAAUAAUCAGCAAACAAACAACAUUGAUCUUAUGCCUACUGAUAUUUAAACAGAGAAUUCUUUCUUCUUUUUCUCUUCAUGGAUUAGAGUUUUUGCUAUUAACAGAAUGGUUUCAAGGGUCUGAAUAAAAUCCCAGACUUUUUUUUAACUUUGUUUUCUGUGGGAAAAUGGAUUCAAAUUAACCAAAGCCAAUAAUAAGAUCACAGACUUUAACAAUGAACAAUAACUUAAGCAAAACCAAUGACAAGAUUAAAACAAACCAGAGAAAUUUUUUCUCGGAAAGUAGAUGAAAAGCAAGUAAGAACUGCUAUUAAAGGAUAUUAUUAAAGGAUUUAGAACAUGUAUACCUCUUUAAUUAUAUGGGAUCAGAGAAUCGAUGACCUCCACUAUUCGCUUCGGAUAUUAAGUAAGAACUGCUAUUAAAAGAAUGAGUUGAUGAGAGUAAUAACAAUGAAUUGCAAAAUAGGAAGACUCAAUCAUGCACCCCUUUUAUACCUGAUCAUAUUAAGAAGUCGUUAAAGAAUAACGACUAAAUUAGGAAUUAAUUCUGAAGUUCAGAAUCAAGAACAGAGACGAAGCUUUAAUAAAGCAUGCAGUGAGAUACAAGAAAUGGAUCUGAUAAAAUACAUUAAAAAAAUUUGUUCAACCUAGUUAAGCUGAUGAAAGCACUAGUUGUUGGCUCUACGUUUCAUAUGUUCUAAUGAAAUAAUUAAGUUGAAGUUUUCAACGAAUAAAUACCUGUUUCGCUUGAAUAGCUUUGGCAUAUACAUUACUUGUGUCCUGUGAAAUUGAAAAGGUUAUUGAUUUACAAAGCUUAUUAGUAGAGAAAAGCUACGUAAGAUGCCUGAUAAAAGAUAAAGCAAGAGCUUGAAUGAAGAAUGACAUUUUAGAAAGAAACUAAAGUGUAAUCAUCAAAGUAGGAUCAAUAAUGUACCACUUUCCUUGCAAAUCUGGUGGGUUUUCUGAAUAGAUUUUUACAUUAUUCUUCUAUUUAACCAUUUUGGCUUUACCCUAAGCAUUCUUGGUUGGCAUUGUCCUGUAAUCUGCGUGCCCUGGAUACGUGAGAGGGAAUGAUGAGGGUAGAUAUGCAAUUUCAAGAAGCGAUUUGCUUGUAUAAUUCAAUGCAUGGAAAGAGAUGUACCUGACCAGAAAAAAAAGGGGACCAUCCAUAUCUGAGCUUGACUUUUUAGAUAGAUAAAUAUUCUUAUUACUGUUGAUAAUGGAGAAGGGUUCUACUUUUACUUUGCCAUCUUUGAUAUAAAACAGCAUGAUUCCUUUUUUUCAAACACUUGCCUAAGUCUAUUUUUUAUUUUUCUUAUUUUCAGAAAGAGAUUAGCUUAAUUUAAAUUAUAUUCAAGUACAAAGUGUUAUACACUCAUAAAACGACAAAUAGGCAUGUAUUGAUCACGCGCAAUCUGUUUUUUUUCCCCCUUUUUUUUUUAAUCCAGUCUUCUUAUUUAAAAAAAAGAAUUUAUUUGCUUUAUUUUAAAUUAUUUUUUCAUGCGGUAAAUGCAAUACUGAGUAAUGGGUGAGCAAAAUAUUUACAGGCACACCCCCUUUUAAUGAUUUCGUACUAAAAUUAAAAAUUGACGAUUCCAUAAUAAAGUUCAAAGAGUAACUGAAGACCCAUAAAUGUUUUUUGGUCAUGAGCAAUUUUUGAGUUGGGACAGCACUCCUAUGAAAAAAAAUAGUUUUUUUUUUCUUUAAGCAUGAGCAUAUUAAUUCUUUUUUUAUAAAUCAACGUGAAUAUAAAAUUAAAAAAUAGUUUUGAAUAACUUCUUUUCUUUUUUCAUAAAUAUAGAUAUAAAAUUUUAAAGUCACCAAACACAAAACCAGGAAAAUGGAAAGGAAGCCCCUGUUUCUCCGCUGCUGCAAGCACAAAUUCGGUUUCUACAGGAGUACCUUCUAAAUGCACCAUUUGUAUUGCUUUGUCUCCACUUGAGCUAAUGGAAUUUGAUGAAGACAAAAUAGAUAUGAGUCGUGCUAUUCACACCCCUCGAUAAUUCUUUCAAAAUCCCUUUUCUAAUUAUACCCCGUUAAUACCCUUGUUCGCUAUGAAAAUAAAGCAAAUGCCUGUAUAAAAAGCUGGCUCUAAUAAUCUACUUGAAUUUACAUCAGAAAAGAGUGGACUUUGAGAAAUAAGAAGUCAAUAUGGAGAAUUUUACCAAAAUAAUCCAUUUUUAUAUACAGGGAAUGGUAUUUUCUGAUAUAGGGAGGAGUGGAGAAAUUAAAUUCAGCAAAAUAAAGAACCUCCAUCGAGAAGCAAAAAUGAUGAUAUCUUUGUCGUGAAGAGAUUUCUGCCUCAUACAAAUUUUUUAUUCUAGAAUGCUUGAAACCGAAAAGUUCUGUAGCUGUUUCAAUUCAAUUGCAUACAUUGACGAAACAUUAAAUACGAAAAAAACAAAAAAGAAAUAAUAGGACAUGGGGAUUUAGAGAACUUCUAAAGAGAGAAAUGUAUUUAUUGUUGGGAAAAUAUGCUCUUUAAAAGCAUAUGUGUUUAUUUAAUUGUAAUAAACUAUUUUUCUGAUUAAUAAAAUAAAUGAGGCAUUUUAUUCAAAUAUCUUAAUUGCAUUAAUACUUGUAUUAAAGUCCAUUUAAUCAUAUUAUAUGUAUUUAUGUGAUCACCAUGUGGAUUCACAGAAGACAUAAAUACAAGUUAUCUUAUGAUUAAAUAAAUUUAGUUCGCAGUUGAUAAAUAAAGUUGGGCACUUUAUUUAGGUAUAGACUGUAAUAAAUUCAUUGAAUGAUUUGUCUUAAUUAUGUAUGAAUUUAUUGAUGUAGUACGACUACAUUGAACAGGAUCACAUAUGAGAUUUAAUUAACUUUGUAAUAACUGUCAGACUUAUUAAAUCUCAUAGGCAUUGAUUUUACUGUAAUCUUAAUCUUGAGUUAAUUAUGAUUUCAUGAUUGUAAUUGUUAUUCCAUUUGAGUUACCAAUGGGCAUGACACAUACUUGUAGUCUACAUUACCCGGUAUCUUGGUGGGAACAAUUAUGAGUAUUGGAGUUAUGGAUUAACAAUAUAGAAUUUGUACAACACAUCUCUUGAUGGGUUUUCGGUACUUGAUCAUAGAAUUCUCUGGCCAGAGUGUGUCAACAUAUUUAGUAUGUUGAAAAUGAUCAUUAGAGAAAACCAGUAAGGAUCAAGGAAUAAGAUGUUAUUAAAUUGAUUGGACAGUUGAGAUAUCAAUUUAAUUAACGAUGUGGUACAAAGGAUUGUGCAGUAAAGAAAUCAAUGUGGCUUGGGACGAAUUAUUAUUCGAGCAUACAAUUAUGGAAGUCAGUUCCAAUCUUUUAGUGGAGUAGAUUUGGAAUUAAAUAAUUAGGCUAGUUUAAUUACAGGUAGGGAUGGCAAUGGGGAGGGGAGGGGAGGGGACCAAUCUCCCUAUACCCAUCCCCGAUAUUUUAUUAUGUCCCCGUCCCCUCUCCGUCCCCGUCAGAAUUGCUUAAGUGAAUCCCCAUCCCCUCCCCGAAUAAUAACAGGGGAUCCCCGAGGGUCCCCGGUUCCCGAAUAAUUAAUAGUCUAAUACAUUUUUUUUUAUUUUCGAUUUUAAAUUAAUCAUAUUAAAAUAAAAAAUUCAGAUAAAAAUAAAGUUCAAAAUAUAUCUUGCAUUAAUAUUGAUCAAUUUCAAAGUCACAUUCAAAAUAUAAAUUAUUAAAAUAAUUAUCUUUGUCAAUGACUCAAUCUUCAUAAUCCUACAAUAAAAAGAAAAAAAAUUAUUUUUAUAUCGGUAAUAAAAUAAAUGUAGAUACUUAAUUAAUAUUUUUAAUAAAACUAUUUACUUCCUGCUCCUCCUGUUCUUCCUCGAGAAAUGUGGCAAAUUGAGAGUUAGCCUCAGAUUUCAAACCUAAAACAAUGAAAAUGAUAUGAGUAACGUAACUUAUAAGCGCAAAUAUUAAUAACUGUAUAAUAUAAUUACAAUGUAAAAUAAAUUCAUACUGCUAUUGUAAGCUCGUAACCAACUUUAACAGCACAUUAAGGCCUCCAAUGUGCUUGGAUGAAGUUUGUUACGGUGUGGGCUCACAAUUCUAGCACUAGUGCGAAAAGCUGAUUCAGAAGCAACUGUUGUAAUUGGAAUUGCCAAAAUAUCUCUAGCAAUUCGAGCUAAUGUAGGAUACAAAUUAGGAUUAGAACUAUUGUAAAUUAUAAUUAGGCAGCUCUCUCCUGUAUCAUUGUGGUUUGGAUUAAAAAUUUAAGACUUUAAUUAGUUAAUUAAGUUUAAAAGUUUAAUAAUAUAACUAUUUUAAUAUUUAUUAUUUUUAACAAUAUUUAUAAUUUUGUUAUUUAUUUAUUAGUAAUUUUAAAAAUAAAAAUAAAAAUAAAAAUUAAAAUGGGGAAAUGGGUAGGGGAUGGGGAUUCCACCUCAUCCCCGUCCCCUCCCCGAAUAAAAAAUUGGGUAAAAAAUUUUCCCCGUCCCCUCCCCGAAUAAAAAAUUGGGUAUAAAAUUAUCCCCGUACCCUCCCCGAAUGGGGAAAAUCCCCGAGGGUACCCGUCCCCGUGGGGAUUUUUGCCAUCCCUAAUUACAGGCCUAAUUAUUGUAGCCACUAUUGUAUGUUCCCAAAUGAUCCCCGGGUUAGCUCAUUUAAUUGAUUGCACCACUGCUGGACUAAUAAGCAAGAUAACUAGCUAUUUGGGCCAAAAGCCUAAAUAUAUCAUUUAGUGGGAGGCUCCAUUUAAUAAGCUUAUGUGUAAGGGGCCUUAUGUUAUUUUACAUGGUGGGUCCCCUAUUAAAUGAAAAGUAACGUGAGUUUUAUUUUGGGGAAUCCUUGGAGCCUAGGGUUUUCACUAAAGGGAGAUAUAUAAGGCUUAUUUUCCCAAAAAAGAAAAAGAGAAGCCACUUUAUACAGAUCUGAGAAAAAGAUUUUUCUCUCCAUUGUUGAGAGAAAAAUUUUCUCGUGCUAGUUGCUUUGGUAGUGAUAAAGGCGCCCACACGUCAAGUGCAGAUCGAACCUGAGUCAUAACCUGGAAGAUCAUUGGAAACAGUUCGUGAUCUAACAAGCGUGGUGGUGACGGAUCGUGAUCUAACAGGAGUGGUGGUGGUGGAUCGUGAUCUAGGAGCCUAAAUCACUUCAGCGGUAAAAGCCAACUCAGAUUUUCAAGGUACGAUUUCUAGAAUACAAAUUCUUAUAUAUUAUAUGAGAGCGAUCUUCAAAAGGUUUUAUAAAAAUUCAAAAACCUAAUUUUUCCCCAACAUUUAUAAGCAUUGAAAAUUAGCUCAUUAAAUUUGAAAGAAUAAUAUACAAUCUCACUGUUGGCCAGAAAAUAAUAGAAGAACUUGUGAACAUAUAUAAUCAAUUGCUUAUUACUUAAGCUUUUUCUCCGUUAUUUUGAAUGGGUGCAAAGGAGAGAAGUUUUGUACCCAAAUCCAACCCGAAUUGUGUAGGCUGCUUGCAAGAGCUUCAUUAGAUUUUUAUUUGUCUUUUAACUUAACUUCCUUCGUGGUUAAAAUUGUAAAAACAAAUGCGGUUUUAAUAGAAUUAUUGAGGAGUGCCAAUAGUGCUACUCAAUAAAUACAACUAUCUGUCUUUUUUGUUACUGGACUAUAGAUCAAUUGACAGUUGAAGUUAUAUUAAUUUGUUGUACUGGAAUUGAAGCUUGUAUCUUAGCCAUUUCGUGAAGUGUCAAAUAUAUUUUUAAUUUCCUUAAAAUUGUUCAAAAUAUGUUUACACUUUUAAAGUCACUAUUAUACAUGAGUGCCCUAAAAUAAGAGAAGGCGAUUUGCCUGACAUUACCUGUUUCCUGUCAAAUCUAGCAGGUUUACUGAUUAGAUUUUAACAAGUCUCUUGGCAAAGUUUGCUAGAAAUGGAAUCAAAUUAUUCUAUUUAAUCUUACUGUAUAUACCCUAAUAGUUCUUGGUUUGCAUCACUGCAUCGUUCUAUAAUCUGUGUGCGUUGGCUUAUAAGGGCUAGCAAGGCUGACCGUUCGUAGCAUAGUUUUUUUUUUUUUUUUUUUUCCCACAAUGAAAUUCCCAUUGAUUUGACUCAGUAUUUAGAGGUGUUAACGAGGGCACUAUACUAGACAUGGAUUUCUACCUCUUUUGGUUGUACAAUUGUUGUAAUCCUUGGCCAUCAAAUCAUUUUUACGUAGCUUUCUCAGAGUUCAUGCCAAGUGUACAUUAAUGUAUUUAUGUUUUGGGUGCAAGUGGGAUUCUAGUUCUCUAUGGCAGUUGAAGAGGUAAAUGGGCAUAGAGCUAUGCUCUAUCAUAGGCUUCGGCCACUACAAGAAAUUUAAUUUUUUAAGACGAUAUUUUUUACAACAACUUUAAAUUUGGUCACAAAAUGAUAUUUAUUGUGACAAAUUUUUGAAAUCGUAGCUAAUAAUCUUGUCCUAACUUAUAUUGUUUUUUGUAACCAAUUGUUUUUAUUUUGAGACUUGUUCAUAUAUUGGUCAUUAAUUAAAUUUUUUUAUGACAAAAAUUAUUUUAGUCACCAAAAGAUAUAAUUUUUUGGCACAAAAUCUUCUCUCCAAAAGUGAUUAUUUUGAGACAAUAUUUCACUAUUUAUGACAAAAUAAAUAGUCACGAAAUAUAAUUAUAGGCGACCAAAUUAUUUGGUAACUAAAAGAGGGGUGUAAAAUUGACUAAACAAUCUAUGACACAAAAUAUUAGUAGCCAAAAUUAUUGUUCUUUUGGCUAAUUUUAAGACCAUUUUUUUGUCAUAUAUAAUUACCUACAGUGAUAAAAUUAAAAAAUAGUCGUUGAAUGUUUUGUCUUGAAUAAUUUUAUAUUUGAUAACCAAUUUUUUUUCUUUUUGAGACAUAUUACUUGGUCCCUAUUUCAACUUCUUUUUGACGAACUUUAUAAUAGUCACAAAAGACUUUUUUUUUUUUUUUGGGCAUAAAAAGUCUGUCCAAAGUUAGCUCUUUUGGGACAAUAUAUAAUCUUUUAUGACAAAAUAUAUAGUGGCGAAAUAUAAUUAUUUUUUACAAAGUUAUUUCGUAGCUGAAAAAGAGGUGUAAAUUUAGUUAACCUAUUUGUGACAUAAAAUAUUAGUCUCCAAAACUAUUAUGCUUUUAGCUAAUUUUAAGACCCUAUUUUGUUGUCAUGGAUAAUUACCUAUUUUAAAAAAAACUAAGAGAUAGUAAUCAAAAGUUUUGUCUUGAUUGACAUUGUAUUUUAUGAGCAAAAUAUUUUGUUUCAGUGACACUUUACUUGGUCUCUCAUUAGAGUUGUUUGUGAUGAUCAAUAGAAUUAUAUAAUAACCACUAAAUUUUUUUGGGUUAAAUUUUUAUAGAUACUAUUAAUUAAGUUGUUGACGAAAAUGAUCAACCAAUACUAAUAUGGAAUACCAUCAACAGCCGUAAUACUUAUGAAGCGAGAAAUUAUAAUAUGUAGUGAAAAAGUUUUCACAGUAGUCCCUAGUAUUUAGAAUUAUUUUGACUUACUUUAUUUACUUCCAAAACAUAAAAUUCUCAACCCAAAAUUCCCCGCAUUGUGUUUUAUUUUGUCUCCUCACUCAGUUAAGAGUAACUCACGGCUUGACAAAAAAAAGGAAAAAAAUUCUCACAGCUUGAUGUUCUCCUCUCUUUAAAAAUAAAAAUCCCUAGUUACUAUUUGUUUCCACCACCAAAGCAGCCACUCGUAUCUUUUAUUAAGCAUAAUAUUUUUCUUAAAACCUAAUUGAUCAUUCUUUAACGUCUCCAGGAUUAUAUAUGGCUCGCUAUUUUUCUCCUUCAAUUGAAUAGAAGUCUAGAAUUUUUUUUUUUUUCGCAAUUCACUUUUGCUGUGUUUCGUGGUUUGGACGGAGAUCAUGUCAAUAAUUGAACGAUGGGGAUAAAUAUCAAAGAAGGAGCUUACAUGCCCUAUAUAUCUCUCUUUGGAUGAAUAACGAUGGUGAGCUUUCAAAGUACAGAGAUUUACAUGUUUUAAUUGUCAUUUACAUUGCUGCAUGCCAAUUGUUUGAUAAAAUAUCGCAACAAAUACGCAUUCUCGAUUUUCUCAUAAAUUUAUUUUCUUAGUCUGAAAAAAAUUGAAUGUUUAGAGAAUUUUGAAGGUUUUGGUGUAUGUAUUAAUAUUUUGAUUCUAGCCUCAUUUUGCCCCUUGUUGUUUUUAUUCUUGUUUUUUAUAUACGGUUCAAGUGUGAUACACUUUAGUUUUUCUCAACUGUUUGUUAGUUUUUCCCGAAGCAAAAUUUGUCAGACUUUGAGUUCAAAAGUUGAAAUCAUAACUAACAUACUUCGAUUUUUUAUUUUCCUUUUUUCUUCGGUGUCUUUCUAUAUGGCAUUGCUUGAGAAAUUGGUGUACUUAGAUCGUAAUAUUCUGUAGAAAUAAGCCAAUAUUUCAUUGGGUACAUUGUUUAAUAUGAUAAGUACUGUAUGGAAGUUUUACAGAUAAGCUCCUUAUAUAUUAUGCAUUAUGUUUUUAUCAUAUUGUUGCUUGGAACUUUGAAGGAUUGGCCACAGGGCUUUAGUCCUACAUGGACAUUUUAUAUUUAAUAGCUGGUUAGGCAUUUUAUUUGAUGUUAUUUGGACUUGUAGGUCUUAAAAGUUUUGUUCAAUAAUUUUAUAAAGCUUAAUUUCAUAGGUGCUGAUUAGGCAUUUCACGAGGAAAUAGCUGUGCUUUUGGAAAUUAAUAUGCUGUGUUGUCAAUGUUGUGUAAAAUCCUUUUAUUGGUGUCUAUGUAAAGUGUUUCAGAUUUCAGACCUGAGAGUUAAUCUUCGCGUACCAGUUGGCUUUUGGGUUUAGUAUUGCUGCUUUUAACAUAUUUGACCUAUGGCCCAAAUCAUUUCUAUAGGGCGAAGCAUAUGAAUGAUACAUAUUAUCUUUUUUUGGCCUUAUGUAUUGUUAUUUGCACGGUGAUUUGGUCUAGCUUAAGAGCUUAAGCUUGCAGGUUGGAUUUGUCUGACAGGGAACAAUUUAAUUUGUUCAUCGUGAUGUUUAUAUCCAUUUUGUACUACUAUCAAUUUCAAUCAUGCCUAAUUUUUAUAUGUAUUUCUCGUGGACUCUCAGGUUCAGUGCACAAGAGGAUGAAGACGAUGGACACCCAAAUUUGAUGUGGAGAACAACUAUUGCAAAUGGUCCUUGAUUUACUUCUCCAAUUGACUUGAAUUGGUUUUACGCAAUUUAUAGUGUAUUUUUGUCAUCUUUGUAUGACUUGCAGGUCGUCCUGAUUUGGUACAUGACUGGACACAGGAAUUGGACUCAUAUUUUUCAAACCAGAAUGCCAACAAUCAAGGAUUUUCUUUUGAAAGCACUGGCGUCUUCUUCAAUGCCAAAAAGGUUAGAGAUUUUCUGUAUCCUGUUUUGUAUUUGAUCAGUUUAGCAUGUGGGUGGCAAUCAAGAAAAGUUAUUAUAACAUUUUUGUGUUCCCGAAAAACUGCUGAUGAUGUGUGACUUCUUUUUAUUUGUAUUCUUUCUUUUUUCUUUUCUCCCCAACAGUAUUAUGCAUUUCGAAGAGCUUCUUGAAGUUGAUUACCAUGUAUGCCACUUUCUUUACUCUAUGCUCAGGAUGUGAUUUUGCCAAGCAUUAAAAUGGUUUAGGUCAGAACCAUCAUCUAAAGUUUACUUAAAGUUGACGGAUUAAUUCCUUUUAAUAAUGGUCGAGUUAAUUUUACUAUACUCAUAAAACUAUUCUUAUUCUGAUAAUGCCACAAAUGUUAUGAUGUUUUCUUCAGCUAAUGAUCUUCUAUCAGGACUAGUUAGAAAUCAAAUGCUUAAAACACCGAUUGAAUGAAUAAUGCAGAAGUUUAAACAGUAUCUAAUUGAAAAUUGCAUGAAACAUGAAACAUCAAUUCAAGUCCUUCCUUAAACAGAGAAUGCAUCAAACAAAUCCAAAGUGUCUUGCAUGUCUGUAGCAUGACAAAAAAGUUGCAAAUGCGUUUAGAACCAAAUUAUUCAAGUACAGGAGAACGAGCAAGUUGAAUCAUGUACACGAGAUUGGCCUGGUUUGAGAUAGCUUCUUCACUGUACCUGAAGGGUUGGCUCAAUCUUUUCUUUAGAAUUCUGCACAUUUUGUAAUUACUCGUGUAAGCAAGCAUACAUUACAACCAUAAUAAUAAUAAAGCAAGAGUAAUGAUACGACCACCACCUCUUGUACACAAACAAUAUUGUAUAAACUAAUACGACAUAAUAUGAUUGGUUGAACAAAAACAUUACAUGGCCCUCAUAAUUUAUUUAUUUAUUUAUUAUUAUAUAUUUUCAGUCAACCAAUCAUAUUAUAUCACAUUAGUUUCUAUAAAAUAAUUUUCUAAAUAGCACCAAAACUUAAUUGAUACUCACCAUUUCAUUGAACAAUUUUUUUAUGGUGUCAUUGAGGUUGCCUUCCCAACAUCCUUCAUCAUCAUCUUUUUCUUCUUCGGUGACGUUCACUUUGUUUAGCAUUGGUGUGUCUAAGACUCCUUGAGAGAAGAUCUUCAUUUUUGGACACUGUCUCACAACUACUUGUUUCAAGGACGGGAAUUCAAGAGCGUAAUUACCUAAACAAAAGCUUGUUAGGCUUGGCAAACAAUCAAGUCCCAAGUACUUUAAUUCCUUGAAAACAAUGCAAUCUUUCGCUUCUUCUGCAACCGGCGACUGUAUGAUUUCUUCUAUCCUUUUGCAAUCAGCUAUCGUCAUACUUUGAAGAAUUAUCAGACUUCUAGAUGUUGAGAGCGUCAACAAAUUUAUCAACCUGUGACACUUCGAUACUUUCAAAGCCUCAAGAUUUUCCAAAUGCCACGAAGCUGGUACUAAUUUCUGUAACUUACUACAUUCAAAUAUUUCUAGACUUUUCAAGUUUGCAAACGCUUUGUUGGAUUCGUCAUUUUCCUUCCAGAGAUGCUGCACUUUGUGUAAUCUAGAUAGCUUUAACUCCUUCAAUUGAGGGAAUGUAAGCUGAAAAUCAACAAAAUUAAGUUGUAAAUGAAAAUAUGUAUCCAAUCUCUGCAGUAUUCCCCUGCAUAUUUUAUGGACAAGAUUAAUCACGGCAUUUUAUAUUUUAUUUCCAAAUUAGUAUGCUUUGCAGUAGGAUCCCAAAUAUAAGUAUCAAAUCGAUUACCCUUUGAAACACAUAAAUGAAAUCUGAUACUAAAUCCAAUAUGAAUUAGCUAGGAAAACAGAGAUGCGACAAGCAUAAUUGAUAUAGUUCAUCACCUCAUGUUACCAGUCAUCGAAAUAAUUUAAGACAUUUUUUUAAUUCAUACUAUAAAGUUAGUUCAUAACUGUAGUUGUAUUGUUAAUUCAUAUAUGAAUCAAGAUGACAUGCAAAAAGAUGAGUCAUAAAAUUUGAUUUGAUUCUAAUGAAAUUACAUCUGUGCAAACAAAAGUGAAGGGGAAAAUAAAAAUAAUAAUAAUAAUCACCUUUUCAUCGAAGAGGGGUUGUACUUGAUGAGCCAGCAAAAAGUUCUCUUCUGAUGUUAAUUUUUGAGGUUCCUUGUUAUUUGUUGUCACAUGCACUACCGAGUUGGAUAUGAAUGUUUCCAUAUCAGGGCAAUUCUCAAUAGUUAGAUUCUCCAACUCAGACAGUUCAAUUAUAUUCCCAGUGAAGUUACAGAAUCUUUUGAGUUUUGGAAGAUCAAUAAGCCUUAGUCUGUUAAGCCUAGGAAACCGGGGGCCUAUAUGUUCUUCCUUAGCAUUUAGCUCUUCUAAAUGAAGCACCUCUUCUAUUAAAUCACAAUUCCUCACUUCCAGGCAUCUCAAAUUGUUCAAGCAACGUAGCAGAUUGGUAGGAAUAGCACUCGACAUAUUCGUGCAGUCAUCCACAGCCAGUUGUCGUAAAUUGUUGAAGAAGCUGACAGGCACUGCUUGGCCGUGCCAUAUUUCUCUCAAGCGUGGAAAAUGUGAGAGUUGCAAAUGCUCUAUGUCACGGAAUCCAAUCUGCAUAAACCAAAACAAUUGCACUGGAUAUAUAUAAAUUUCUUUUUUUGAAAGGCAUUAGAUAUAUAUAUACAUUAAACUUACAUGUUUUGUGCUAUAACUUCUAAAAAUAUAUUUACAACGCAUGUGUAUAUGUUUAAAUGUGGUAUAGUGGAAUUAAGCUUAUUGCCAUUACUUCGAAGUGGUGUUCGUAACACCAUUACUUCGCAAAGUGAAUCGAUAAACACAUACCAUUACUUGGANNNNNNNNNNNNNNNNNNNNNNNNNNNNNNNNNNNGCCUUCCCAAUGGUGUUCACCCUCUUCCCUUUCAGUCACUUGCACUACGUAUAGCUUUGGUGUGGAUGAGAUUCCCCGAGAAAAAGUCUUCAUGUUCGGACAAUGUGUCAUAGAAACUUGUUCCAAUGAUGGGAAUUCAAGAGUGUAAUUCUCCAAACAAAAGCUGGUAAGCCUUGGUAAAUCAUCAAGUUCCAAAAGUUUUAAUUCGUUGAAAGCAAUACGAUUCUCCUUCGCUUCUUCUCCAACAUGUCCUAUGAUUUCUUCUAUUUUUGCACAGUCUGAUACAUCAAGAUUCACUAGACUAUUGGGAAUUCCAACCUGAAAUAAAGAGUAGCAUUCAACUAGAUCAAAGUAUGUCAAAAUCAUACAAUUGUUUUAUGAAAAAUAACAAUUUUGAGGAAUUGAAAGAUAACUAAUUUAAUUUUUUUUUGGAAAGACUAAUAAUGAAUGAAUUAAUGAUUAAAUAAUAUUAUUAGUUAUAUCUAUUUAAUAUUAAUGUUAUCAAAUAUAGAUUUUUCAUAAAAAAUAAUUCUUAACUAUAUAAUUAAUAAUUAGAGAGAUGUUAAUAAGCUUUUUGAUUUCCUAAAAUACGUAAUUUAAAAAAAAUUAGAAUUAUUAAAAAAAUUCAAAAAAUGAGGCCUUCACAAAAUAUGGGACCUUAGGCGACCGCCUUGUUCGCCUAUACCUAAAGCCACCCCUGCAUGGGACUGUAAUAGAGUGAAUAUUUGAGGAAAUUUUUUAAUCAACGGUCGACUCAAAAUGACCAUCAUGAAUUUGUGCUUAAUCAAUGGCGUAAUCAAUUCAUAACUAAACCAGAGAUAUUAACUACAUUUGAACACUUUUCUUUAUUUUUUAUUUUUAAAUCGAAAUCUAAAGACCCAAGGAAAAGAGAAAUAUAUAUGAAUUUGUGAACUUAAAAGCUGAGUAACUAAGUAUCUUUUAAUUUCUGAAAAUCUUAUUUAUUAGGAUAUAAGAAAAAAAAACAAUUAAAUUGAAUUAUAUUAUGCUGUUAAAUCGUGUUUAAAACAAUUACUUUAAUGCAGGUGAACCUAUAAAUUAGAUUGAAAAUGCAGAGUUCAGAAUGGUGAUUUGAAGUACACUACUUUUUUGCCCUCCAGAAGUUUGAAGUAAAAUACUUGCAAUAAAUAAUUUGUGAAUGAAAAUUAUUUGUAAACACAAAAAUGAUUAAAAUAAUUGUUGAAUGUUACUUGAAAUAAAAAUUCAAAAUGAAUAUAGCAAUCUUACCAAUGGAGGAAAAAUAUUCAGUAGAUUAUUACACCCAGAUAUCUUCAAUUUUUUCAAUUUGCUAAAAGACUUCGAAGCAAGCUGGUGGUGCCAUAUUUUUCUCAACUUAUCCGCCUCACUAAUAUGUAAUACCUCCAGACUUGGGAGUCGUACCUGAAGUUAAAAAUUCAAUGCAAUUAGAGAUGUAUAUUAAUUAAAUUUGAAGACUCAACGAAAAGAGAAUUUAAAAAUUCAAUGAAAAAAAACCUUUUCAUCAAAGAGGGAUUGAGGUUGCAUUUCAGUGUGAAUGACGUCUUCUGGUGAGGCAAAGCUACUUAGUUUUGGAAGCCAAUGGAGCGACAGGUAGUGUAGUUUGGGAAAAACCUUAAAUUCAUCUCUUCCUCCUAACGUCGUGGUGUUGACUACCCCUUCAAUUGACCGGCAAUUACGAAUCUCAAGAUGUUGGAGUUGCCCAAGACUAUUAACCAUAGAAUAUGAAAACAAAUACUUCAGACGAUGACAACUCCACACGGUCACUUUUGUUAAAUUUUGACAACAAUAUAUUCCCUGAAAUUGAUCGGACCAUAAUUUUUUGAUAUUUGUUAAACUGACAAGUUCCAGUUCCUCCAAGCGUGGAAAAGUAACCUGCAAAGAAAAACCAUACAUUUUUGUUCUUUCAACUACAACUUCUAAUAUAAUAUUCUUUCGAUGAUUGAAGAUCAAUCGUGAUAAUAUAUUAAUUAAUUAAUUAUUAAACAGAAAAUUAUUACCUGGUGAACAGGAUCAUCCUCUGCAUUGAUUUCUAUGAAUCCCUGAGUUGUUGGUGGUUUCUCCAUGUCGGGCCCUAUAAAUGAACCAAAACAAUAUACAAUAAACAUCCGUUGUUUUUUUCACCAAAAAAAAAAAAAAGAAAAAAAGAAAGAGUCAAUGUCAAUAAUCCUACCAAUAAUUAAUUUCAACACUUACCAAUAAUCAUUUUCAAAUCAUCGCAGUCUUCCACUUUUACUUUUUGAAGCCGCAAUAGGUUUUUGGCCAUAGAGAAUGAGAAGAGAUACUUCAAUUUUCGACAGGAAUCUACGUUUAUAAUCCUUAAGUUGCUGAAGGAUUGAUCUUCUCUGAGUUGGCUGUAGCAUAUCGUCUCCAAAUUAGUUAAAAACAUAAGAGACAAUGCCUCCAGCAAGGGAAAGACUUCGCAACGAACCCGUCUAACUGAACCGACAAUAUGUAAAAUCUCAGAACAGUCUGUUACGAGAAGACGCUUCAAUCGUGGAAAACCUUCCCCAUCGUCUAAUUCAUGAACAACACUUUGAACACCCUCCAAUGUUUCUAGCCAGAGAUCUUCAGUUCUCUGCAGCAACAUUUUUGUCCCAUCAUUCUCCUUAAGAAUGCUAACUUUUUUUAUCCCCUUGAGCAUCAUCAAUCUUGAUGCUUCGGAUUUGACGAGCAAUGGGUCAAACUCAUCUUCGGGCCCAUCUCCUAUACGUAUCUUAUAUCUUUGCAAUUCCACAGAGACAAAAUCCGGCGGCAGAAUUUCGGCAUCCGGAACUUCUAUCUCCAAAGUAGUUAGCUCUGUCAACCUCUCCAAUUCGACAAGACUGGCAUUACUUCCUCCUUCAACCUUCUCCCACCCUGAAAAACCGUUACCCAUAUACAAUUCUUCUAAUUGAGAUAAUUUUGAUAUGACAUUCGGUGCUAUCACCUCAAGCCACCAACAAUUGCUCAAAUCUAGCAAUUGUAACCGCGUCAAUUGUCCAAUUUCAACUGGUAGCUGGUUGAUAUUGGAAUAUGCGAGGCUGAGAAUCUCUAAUUUCUUUAGUUGUCCAAUUGCCGCUAUAUCUGCUAGUUCGCACCAGUCUAAACACAAUGUUUGAAGGUUAAUGAGGCGACCAAGUGAUGAAGGUAAUGAAGAAGAGCCAAUUCCAGGAAACUGUAAAACUUUGAGUCCUUCCAUCCCUUCAAAAAAGUGGUCUGAAACUUGCAUAGGGCCAUUACCCUCCGUAUACAACAAAAAUAACUGGAGAUUGGGACAUUGCAACCUUUCAGGGAGCUCUUGAAUAUCUCUAUGAGGUAAUGAAAUAGCAAUUGGAUCUUUCUGUAUUGUCUCUUCCAUCUUUUUCUCCAAGUCAGCAACAUUUGGAACAUUAAACAUGCGCUCCUCUGUGGCAAUUGAUACGGCAACAACAUGAAUGACGUCAUGCAUUUUAACUUCAUCUUCAGCAUCACCGUCCAACAAUAAGCAUGAAGAUUUGAGGUUGUCGAUCAACCGAUGCACUCUACUCCUUGCUUCUUCCAAUGUGUAAACAUUUUCAAACAAACCCCAACCCACACCAUAUCUCAAUAAGUCAGAAACUUGUAUGACAUUACCUUCACUGUAUAGACUACAAAGACGGAACAGAGAUUUUGCCUCCUCACUUUCCAAGAAGUCAUAACUCAAUUUUAUGGAGGUGUACACAUUUGCUUGCAUGCCAUGAAUUUCUCUAGCAUCCGAUCUUCUUAGCUGAUUCAAUGCAUCUUUCCAAAAGUAACGCUCUUUAGUUUUCAGAGCAUUUGCAACUGUACUCAGUGCAACAGGCAAACCUCCGCAUCUUUCAACGAUCUCAUUUGCUAUACUUUGAAAAGCAGAUAUUUUAGUUGAAUCACCCAAUAUCUUUUCAAAAACUGCAAUGCUUCUUUUGGUGGCAAAGCAUCGAUCGGGAAAUUUUUCUGAGAAUUCAUAUCAAUGCGCAAUAAAUCUCGACUUCUAGACGUCAAUAUUAUUGUGCAUCGUCUCUGAUCAUCCUUUGUAUCUUUCUCAUCAACAUCCCCACAAGGAAUUCCAACUUUUUCGAACUCGAGUUUUUUCCAAAUAUUAUCCAAUAUAACGAGGACCUGCUUCUCGUUCUUCAAUCUUUCACGUAAUCGAUCUGCUCUUUCGAAUUUAUUCUCAUCCGAGCCAAAUUUCAUGCCUAAGUCAAAAGCAAGUUUCUUUUGAAUUUCCUGAUGAUCUGGGGUCUGUGUUACCUCAGCCAUAACGACCUUAUCGAACACCUUAUCUUCCAUAACUUGCCUUGCAACUUGCUUGACUAGCGUGGUUUUACCCACGCCGCCCAUCCCGCAGACCCCAAUUAUCUUGAGCUUAUCAUCCUUCAACGCCUCCACAACAUCUUGAAAUACUUUCAUUCUUGAAUCAAAGGCCUCGAAAUCUUUCACUUGCAUAUGUUCUGCCCGCUUUGGAGCAGGACGGUAGGAAACAUUAGAGAAGUUACCUUUUCCCAUGAGACUAGCAGCAGCUUCUGCGGCCUUUGCUGCUUGUCUACUGAGCUUGUAACGAGAAAUCAAGUUUGGGCACAAUCCUUUGAAACAGAACUUCUUAGCUCUAUCUUCAUCAUCAGUGAUGGAUUUCGCAGCUCCCUGAGUGAAUUCCUUGACGCUAUUAAGCCAGUCUGCAACAUCCUUAUAAAUCUCAUCUCCUUGUUGAGUAGCCUGAUGAACGGGUAUUUCCACCCUUUCUCUUUUAUAUCCCAACUGUUUCACUUGAUCUUUUAGGCCAUCUAUGUAGCUCUGGUACUUGAACACAUAAGAGAUCUGCCGUAUAAUCGGUUUGAACAGUGACUUUGCAUCUUCUGAUACGAUGCUGGAAAAAGCAGCCAGACCCACUUCUACAACCAUUGCCUGUUGCUUAACAAUAUAUGUAUAUAUAUGAAUAAAAUGAAUAAAAAUGUCAAAGAAAGGAAUACAAAUAAAUUAAAAUGAACUAGAGGGAAAGACAGAGAAAGAAAAGACCGCAAACAACAUCGCGAUAUUGAUUUUGAACCAACUGAUACCUAAGUAGAGAAUUUCUUUUUCUAUCUUAAGGAUCAGAGGUUUCGCUAUUAACAGAAAGGUAUCCUUUAAGGAAAGUUGAUGGAAAUUAAGAAAGAAUGGCUAUCAAGAUCAAGUAUUCUGCUACUAAAAAUAAAUGAUAUGACUUAAGAAAAGUAAAUGAUAUGAUUAAGAAAAACCAGAGAAUUUUUUCCUAGGAAAGUUGAUGGAAAUUAAGAAAGAACCGCUAUGAAGAUCAAGUAUCAGAGAUUCUGCUACUAAAAGAAUAUUACAGGUUUUAGAACAAGUGCACCUCUUUACCUGUCUGGGAUCAGAGUCGAUGAGCUGCUGUAUUCACCUUGAAUAUAGAAGAAAUAUUACAGGUUUUGACUAAAGAGGAAUGUGAGGAACGAGUUGAUGAGAGUAAUAACAAUGAAUUUCCAAAAGAAGACGACUUGAGCAUUAAGCAUGCACCCCCUUUAUCAAUCAAAUAUUGGUACGUAUGUACGUAGGGACCAUUAUGCGUAUAUGAAGUCCAUUAGUUGCAAUCAGAAACCCUGGCCCAAUUUAAUUGGCACUCGAUUUUUGAUAAGAAGAAGGCAAGGAUAAGGACAAAGUCAAUCAAUCACCAACAGUAAUUACUUCAAUCUUUGUCAAUCUACUUAAAUUGUCGAUCAACAUGAAAAUUGUUUAAAUUGAUAUUUGUAAAUCAAUCAAUUUUCUAGUUACUAUGAUUAUAACGUUUCACCUUUCAUAUUGGAUUUUAUCUUUUCGAAAGUUUUCAAAUAUGAGUGUCAAUAAUUAUUGAGACUCCAAGCCGUGCUCUCAAGAUCGUGCUGACAAAUCACUAUUGACUUUGUUUAUGCAAAAUUCAAAGAAAAAAAGUUAUGGUUUUGUAUUGCCAGCCCUGCUACUUUUUGUUUUUUUCAUUUGUAUUAUUUACGAAUUAUUUUUUAACAGAAACAUGAGAACUCAUCAUCGUACAAAAUUGCAUGAAAAAAUCUUCAAAUUUAUAAAAGUAAAUUUCGUUGACAGAUUGUGGAUAUGUUAGAAAGAAUAAGGAUAAGAAUGAGUUAAGAAAUAAUAUAUAUAUAUAUAUAGAUAGAGAGAGAGAGAGAGAGUGAAAGUAAACAAUGUUUUGGUACAUUUGGUAUUGUUUUCAAAAUAUUUUGAAAAGAAAAAUUUUCAAUUAUCCACCUAGGAAUUAUCUUAUUAUCCAAAAAGUUAUAAAAAUUUAAAAAUAUUUAAUUUUAUACCCAUUAUUACAAUGUGUAUCAACUGUUUACUAAAAAAAUAAAGUUACUCCUAAAACAUAAUCACCACUACAAUUUUGUGUUCGCUUCUAUUUUGUCACUUUGAACGAAUAACUUUAUAUUUUUAACAGAUGUUUCAUACAAAUUGCAUACAUUGGAUGUAAAAUUAAAUAAAUUUAAAUUUUUAUAAUAAUUUUAAUAAUUGAAUAAACUUUGAGUAAAUGACUGAUAAUUUCUCUUUUAUAAGCUACAAGAAGUUAAAAAGAAAAAAGAAAAAAUAGGAUGAUAAUUUCUCUUUAAUAUGCCUCAGAUGAUUUAUUGUUUCGGGUCUAAGAUUUUAAAUAUUCAACUUAAAAGAUUAAUAUAUUAUAAAUUAAUUAAUUAAAUAAUCAUUAAGCAACUAAAUUGGGUCCCCUGGAUGUCAAUUCCUUUAUUAUUGACGCAACUAUUUUUUUAUGGCAAAUAAUUAUUAAUGCACUUACGGAACUUUUGCAUAUCUACACAGCGAUUUUAAAUAUUACUGGUAACUGCUGAGAAAUGUGCGAGAAAGAAGUUGAUGAGAGUAAUAACAGCGACUUGCAAAAGGAAAAGACAGAAUCAUUCAGACAUUCACCCCUUUUUGUAUCACGUACUUGGUUACUGUUUCCCUGUUGACGCAUGUAUAAAUUUGAGUGAUUUUUCUGCACUUUUUUGGCUGUUGCUUAACAAUGUGUGUGUGUGUGUGUGUGUGUGUAUUUGCUGUUGAAAAAUUUGGAUUCAAAUAAAUUAACUGAAAGAUUAGAGUUUUGACUAUUAACUGAAAGGUUUCAAGGGUAUGAAUGAAAAGCAACAUUCUUUUUUAGAAACUAUUUUAGAGGAGAGAUGCAAAUUAACAAAUGCUAAUAACAAGAACACAGAAGUUAACAAUGAACAGUAACUUAAAUCAAGAAAAUUAAAUGACAAAAUUAAGACAAAUAGGAGAUAUUUUUUCGUGGACGUUAAGAAAUAACUGCUGUCAAGAAUAAGGAGAUUAUGCUAUUAAUAGAAAUUAUCAAAGGAUUUAGGACAAGUUCACCUCUUUAAUUAUCCGGGAUCAGAUAGUUGAUGAGCUUCUCUAUUUGAUCUUGAAUAUUUAAGAAUAAUUUUAAUGAGCAAAAAGAUCACUGGUAACUGCUGAAAAAUAAGUGAGAAAAGAGUUGAUGAGAAUAAUAACAAUGAAUUGAAUAAAAAAAGGACUUAAUCAUGCACCCCCUUUGCAUAUCAUGUAUAGAAUAAUUACAUGUAUUAUUAUAAUUUUGGGUUCGAUAUCCUUGUAUUAGUGUCUAAGAUUUUCAUGAAGAAUUAAACUUGAAAUGACCAAAAGAGGAAGCUGCGGUGUAUUGUUGGACCCAAUUAAGUUGAAGAAAGCACUAGUUCACAACCUUACGUUUGGAUAUAUUCUAAAGAAAUAAUUAAACAGCAAAUGAUCAUCACAUGCACUUUAAUGAUUUGAUCUAUUGUUUUCAAAAGAAAUUGCAAUUAACAGUUUUUGUCAAAAGUUCGCACUGUGUGAAACUAGUGUUAAUAUAAUUUAAAAAAUUACUUUCAAUAGCAUAUGGAAUAAUUAUAAUAUUAUUAAUACCUAAGAUAUAUUUAUAUUUAUUAUAAAAAAUUCAGUUAAAUAUUUGUGUUAACUAGAAUUUAUAAUUAAUAUAAUAUAUCUUAGGUAUUAAUAAUAUUAUAAUUAUUCCAUAUGCUAUUGAAAAUAAUUUAAAUUUUUAGACGUUUAUUUUCAUAUUAAGUUUUUAUUUAUUAUAAAAUUUAGUUUAAUAUAGUAUAAGCUUGUAAAGUAUUAAAAUAUUUUUUUUCAUAUUUUUUAAAAAUAUUAAAAUUAUUUUAAUAUAUAUAUAUUAACAUUGAAGCCAAUUUUUUGAGUUAAUAGAGCUAGUAGGUGUUACACUAAAAAAGAGUAUCUUAGUAUCUCUUAUUGAGUGGGAGAGCCAAAUGAAUCGAAAAAUUCAUGUUUGGUUCGGGAAGGGAUCAUCGAAGUUUUGAGAUGAAUGGAAAGAUAAUCUACUUUCAUUAAGUGAUUUAUUAGAUAAUCGCAAACUGAGGAUUUUGAAUAGUAUUCAAAAUUCAGAAGAAAUGCAGAGAGGGGCCAUUGAACGGCCGGAAAAAGCCCGGCCCGGUUACAAAAAAUCAAAAUAGAAGCAGAUCAAUAUUGAAAAUAUAUAGAUCUAUAUAAUCAUUUUUUCAAAUAUCGAGAUGUAGCUAUAAAAGAAAAAAUAAAUUAAAAAAUUUUAAAUUUUAAAUUUUAAUAUGGCCAUCGUAGGGUUAGAAUCCCCGCUCCAACCCGAUUUGGAGAUGUGCUUGGUCUAUUUAUGUUUUGGAAAAAGAAAAACCAAAGAAAAAAAAUACGCACCCGACCAAAUCAAGUAACUCAUCAAAUAAAAAAUAAAAAAGGAAAGAAAUUUAAUGACUUGCGUGCAAUUUUGGAUCUGAAAUUAAAAUUACAUAAAAAUUCAGGCUUACGUACCUUGAUAUUUACAGCUUAUUUGAUGGCCUCAACAAGUUUAAGCAGCAUCAAAAUGUUGUGGCUCCUUCAAUGACAACAUCGACUUGUUUGACAGCUCCAACAAGGCUACGAUGAUCAGAAAAUGAGCCCUCAAUCAACCAGCGCCUUGCUCUUUGUCAUUUUUCCUCUUGUUAGUUUUCUUCUACAUAUAAUUAUUACACUGGGAAGUAUACACACACCUCUUUUCUUUUUAUAGUACCUUACUAUUAUAUCUUUACAAAACAAUAUCACCCUAAGACAUAUAUGUAUGAAAUAAAUAUAUAAGGAACUGACGAAAUAAAAUUAGAUCUAACACUAGUUUCAUGUGGUGUGUGAACUUUUGACAAUCCUCUCAUACCCCAACAAAAACUUUGUCAUAUUACGAAAGUUAUCACGACCAUAGACUUUUCAAUUGCAUAUUGGAAUUGCAAUGUCAUUUUAUUAUAGUAAUGUCAUUUCCAUUAUUCAUAGUGGCAGACAAUGGACAUCACGGGACACGGCGAGAAGUUAUCACGACCAUAGACUUUUCUAAUUUAUGAAAUAAAUGAAAUUAGAUCUAAUUCUAGUUUUAAGUGGUGUGAACUUUUGACAAUCCUCCCAUAUCCUAACAAAAGCUUUGUCAUAUUGCGAAAAUACCUUUCCAAUGUUUCAAUUGCAAUGUCAUUGCCAUUAUUCAUAGUGGCAGACAAUGGACAUCACGGGACAUGGCUAGAAGUCUAUGUUACGGCUUAUGUAAGUAACAGUAGCCAAUGGGGAACUUCCACAGGGGCUAUAGGAGAGAGAAAGAGGUCCCAAUACAAGUGUUAGAGUGCAAUUUAUACACUAGUUUUGCAUUGUUUACUUCCCUUAAUAUCAAUGUUUUGCAUUUAAUAAUAAUGAUUUACUUGUGUUUUACUUUUGUAGGUGCAAUUCUAUUGAUUUGUUAUAAAAUUGAGGUAUAAGAUGAUGUUUAAAGAUGAUUGUUCUCUUAGAGAAAUUUAGAGCGUCAGAAGAACUUUAUUGAUAAAGCGUGGGCGCGUGCUGUCAACUGCGGACCUGCAGUUUUUAGUUUAAUGUGUUUUGUAUUUUUGGCUAUUUUUGUAAUUACGAAUUUAAUAUUUCAAAUAUUAGUAUUUUAUUUUAAAUAGAACUCUAAAAGAGAAGAGAGAGAGAGUAUUUAAGGGAGGAAUCUAUUGUGAAAAAGGGGGGAUUUUAAUUGGAGAAAAAGAAAGAAACCCUAGAUCUAAUUUUUCUCUUCUCUCUAUGAAGAACUAAACUUAUUUUUUCUGGUGGAAGGUUAAUGAAGCUUUGAUUCAUCAAUACUGUGAGAUCUUUCUUAUGCUUUAAUUGUUUUAUUACUUUUUGGGUAUUUGUUUAUUCUCUGAAUUUGUUUCAUGAUUAUGUUUGUUAAUUAGGUAAUUGGCCACUAUUUAAUUAUCAACUUAAUCUAUUGUCAAUUAAAGAAUUCAUCGUAUGAAGAGUUUAAUGUUUGUGACAAAUAACAUAGCAGUGAGUUGUGUUAUGGGAAUAAACAAUCUAAUUUAAAUGAAUCAUUAUAUGUGUUGAUUAGGAUUUGGGUCUCUAUGGUUUUUCAGGCUGUCAAUUGAUUAAAUCCUAUGAUCGUAUCUAGGGUUGUCUAUUGAUUAGGGAAAUAUCCAACGGUCGUACCUUGGUUAUCGACUAGUUAAGGAGAGAUUGGCUAUUAGAGGGUCUCAAUAGCUAUAACCGGUCUAUUCAUAAGUAAUAAUAAUCUAUUUUUGAAUCAAUGAUUAGUAGUCGAAUCAAGCUGAGUUAAUUCCUUCAACCAGAGCUUUCUCCAAUUUGAAUUACAACUUUAAUUUGCAUUUUUGUUAUUUUAAUUUGAUUUUUUAUUAUUGUCAACAAUUCCCCCAUUUUACGUUUUACGUUUCAAAAGGAUUUAAAUAAUUACCGAUCUCUGUGGACACGACCCUGCUCAAUCACUAUACACAAUUUAUUUAGAGUAGGAAUUUAUUUUUGUUGGCUUCGACAACCAUCAACAAGGUGAUGGAAAUGGGAAAGUUCGAAGCUGUUACUUUCAGCUUCUGCACCGUAGCCAUGUCCCACGGGACAAGGCUAGAAGUUAUCAUGACCAUAGACUUUUCUAAUUUAUUUUUUCCUUUCAAAAAGGGACAAGGAUAAGUUUGGGAGAAUGAUUAUAUUUUUAAUAAAAGAAUUCUUUUUUAUUAUAAUACUUUUUGUCUUUAUUAAUUUAAAAAUAUUAACUCUUAUAUUUUAAUAAAUAUAAAUAUAAUAUUAUAAUAACAUAUAACAAUAUAUACAAAAAUUUAAAAAAAAUUAAGAUUUUAUUAAAAUAAAUUUUAUAAUAAAUACAAAUACAUUAUUAAUAUAAUUUUAAUAAUUUGCAUUUUAAAAAGUAAUACUGAUAUUAAUUUUUUAAAUAUUAAUUUUUUAAAUUAUAUUACUCUACCAAAAAAAAUUAAACUAUUAAAUUAUAUUGAUAUUUAUUACAAAAUUUGCAAUUAAUUCUUAUUAUAUUUUUAAUUGGAAUUUGUUCCUGUGAUAUAACAACAAUUGCUACAGUUUUUUUCCCUAAAUAAAGAUGGAGUUAUAAAUUAUUUGUGUAAGUGUCAUGAAAGUAAUAGUUGAAUAACAAUAAUGGGGCUUUAGGCAAUUUUUUCAUGAGGUCUUCUUGCAAUUUCAACACUUAAACAUACUUGUCCUUGAUCCCAAUUUAUUUACCCCAUUUGGGCCCACGAUGAGAUAAAUAUAUUCCUGUGAGAUGAAAAACAUCAGGAGAAGAAAAUGUUUUAUUAUAAUAAAAAAACAAGUGGUCCAUAAGUCUAUUUAUUACUUUUUUUAUUCAAUACAAAUGGCCAACUUAAAAAAUGAUAAAAAUCACAUAACGCACAAGCAAAAAUUUAGAUUUACAUUUUUUUAGUUCUCUCCGUGUCUCUCUUUCUCUUUUUUUUUUUUAAAAAAAAUAAAUGUCAGUGUAAAAUUAGAAAAAUUUUAGAUAUAAACUUUGGCGAUGACCAAACAAAAAUUGCAAGGGAAAGAAAAUAGAGGACCCUUGAUAUCAUUGAAAUACUGAUCAUAGACACUACAAUAUAAAUAACUUGUUGUGAUCCACUCAACUUGUAACACUUUAAUCCAUAUUCUAAAAUUUGUAUGCUUGUUAGGAAUUUUAUUAUUGACAUUACUGUACCAAUAAAAGUCUAAUUUAUUCAUAUGGAAAGAAAACAUCAAGAAAGGACCUCUGAUUUUUAUUAUAACAGAAAAAAGUGGUCCAUAAGUUUAUUUAUUAUUUUAUUUAUUCAAUACAAAUUGCCAACUUAAAAAAUGGUAAAAAUCACAAAAUGCACAAGUAAAAUUUUAGAAUUACAUUUUUUUAAUUCUCUUUGAGUCUCUCUCUCUCUCUUUAAAAAAUAAACCUCACUGUAAAAUUAGAAAAAUUUUAGACAUAAAAUUUGACAAUCACCAAACAGAAAAUGUAGGGAAAUGAAAAUGGAGGAGCCCUAUUAUCAUUAGAAUAUUGAUCAUAGAUACUAUAAUGUAAAUGAUUUGUUGUGGUUCAUUCAACCUGUCACACUCUAAGCCAUUUUCUAAAAUUUGUAAGGUUUAUAGGAUUUUUAUUAUUGGCAUCAUUGUAUCAAUAAUAUUAUAAAUUAUAUAUUCUAUUGUAAUGAAAAUUUAUGUAAUCUUAGGUAUUUAUUUAUUGUAAUAAUAAAAAAUUUCUAAAUAAAGGUGAUUGCUUCAUUGACAAGUACAUAUUUAUAUUCUCUAUUAGUAUUUGGGUUGUAAACUUUGUUUAUAAAGUGAAUAUAUUGUGGUAAGCGAUGUGGGCAAUAUCGGAUGCAAAAUAUUGAGAGAUCAUUAACGCAUAUAUUUAUUGAAGACGCAUAUAGAGGAAAGAGUGUAGAUCCGGCCGUAACAAUUAUGAAGCUUUCCCCAAGUAUUCUCACGCUUCCUUAACUGUUGCAAAGUAUUUUUCAUAGUGUGCAGAUUUACUUUAUGGUGUCUUAAUUCGUCUAAAAUGAUUACUUUAGUUCUUUUGGGAUGAAAGGUCAUUUAUUGUGUUAGUAUUAAACAAUAGAAAAAAUAAGUAAUGGUAACGAAAGACUAAUUUGUGAUAUUGAAGCAUACAUGCUUAACUCAAUCCAAAACUUAGUAAGUUAGCUCAAGAGUUAAGAGUUGUCCAAAUCUUAUAUGCUGAACCCAAGUUCAAUACUCAAUUGAUGCAGGAUGUUAUUCCUAACACCGCCCCUCAUGCGUAGGAUUGGCAAAAAAACUCGAGUCAGUCCCGCCUAGACCUGCAAGCUUUAUUUAUGGCCAGCAUGAUGAAGUUACAGAUAUUAACCUAAAAAUUUGAAACUUACUAUGAAUGGCCUUGGUUAAAGACUUUUGUAACUUUAAUUUAUAACAAGUAUGUAUACACACACACACACAUGUUUAGAUUGCAUUUGGAUGACUUUUUUAUCAAUGCAAACAAUAUCAAAUUUAUCGGAUUAAUUUGAAUCUGAUCUAUAUCCGAUUUUGCCCGCCAUANNNNNNNNNNNNNNNNNNNNNNNNNNNNNNNNNNNNNNNNNNNNNNNNNNNNNNNNNNNNNNNNNNNNNNNNNNNNNNNNNNNNNNNNNNNNNNNNNNNNNNNNNNNNNNNNNNNNNNNNNNNNNNNNNNNNNNNNNNNNNNNNNNNNNNNNNNNNNNNNNNNNNNNNNNNNNNNNNNNNNNNNNNNNNNNNNNNNNNNNNNNNNNNNNNNNNNNNNNNNNNNNNNNNNNNNNNNNNNNNNNNNNNNNNNNNNNNNNNNNNNNNNNNNNNNNNNNNNNNNNNNNNNNNNNNNNNNNNNNNNNNNNNNNNNNNNNNNNNNNNNNNNNNNNNNNNNNNNNNNNNNNNNNNNNNNNNNNNNNNNNNNNNNNNNNNNNNNNNNNNNNNNNNNNNNNNNNNNNNNNNNNNNNNNNNNNNNNNNNNNNNNNNNNNNNNNNNNNNNNNNNNNNNNNNNNNNNNNNNNNNNNNNNNNNNNNNNNNNNNNNNNNNNNNNNNNNNNNNNNNNNNNNNNNNNNNNNNNNNNNNNNNNNNNNNNNNNNNNNNNNNNNNNNNNNNNNNNNNNNNNNNNNNNNNNNNNNNNNNNNNNNNNNNNNNNNNNNNNNNNNNNNNNNNNNNNNNNNNNNNNNNNNNNNNNNNNNNNNNNNNNNNNNNNNNNNNNNNNNNNNNNNNNNNNNNNNNNNNNNNNNNNNNNNNNNNNNNNNNNNNNNNNNNNNNNNNNNNNNNNNNNNNNNNNNNNNNNNNNNNNNNNNNNNNNNNNNNNNNNNNNNNNNNNNNNNNNNNNNNNNNNNNNNNNNNNNNNNNNNNNNNNNNNNNNNNNNNNNNNNNNNNNNNNNNNNNNNNNNNNNNNNNNNNNNNNNNNNNNNNNNNNNNNNNNNNNNNNNNNNNNNNNNNNNNNNNNNNNNNNNNNNNNNNNNNNNNNNNNNNNNNNNNNNNNNNNNNNNNNNNNNNNNNNNNNNNNNNNNNNNNNNNNNNNNNNNNNNNNNNNNNNNNNNNNNNNNNNNNNNNNNNNNNNNNNNNNNNNNNNNNNNNNNNNNNNNNNNNNNNNNNNNNNNNNNNNNNNNNNNNNNNNNNNNNNNNNNNNNNNNNNNNNNNNNNNNNNNNNNNNNNNNNNNNNNNNNNNNNNNNNNNNNNNNNNNNNNNNNNNNNNNNNNNNNNNNNNNNNNNNNNNNNNNNNNNNNNNNNNNNNNNNNNNNNNNNNNNNNNNNNNNNNNNNNNUACCUCUUUUAACGACAAGAUUCGUAGUAGAUGAUAAAAAGAAAAUUAACUUCAAAUUUUUUCAUUAAAUGUAAAUCUGAUUGAAGUAGUUUAAAUUUUUCUAGUAGACUAAUAUAUAUAACUUAAAUAAUUAAUUUCAUUAUUAAUUUUUAAAAUGUUAACUAAUAUAUUUUUAAUUUAUUAUAAAAAUUUUAAAUAAAUCCUUGGAUUAAAUAGAUUUUACAAUUAAUGUAAUACUUCUGAUUUAUUAAUAAUAUUAAAAUUAUUUUAUAUGAUAUUCAAAAUAAUUUAAACUUAUAUAUAUAUUAAUAUUAUGUCUAUUUAUUAUAAUAUGGUUUAAUAUUAUACGGGAUUGUAAAAUAUUAAAAUAUUUUUCAAUAUCCAAUUAUUUUAAUAUGUAUAUAUCAUUACAUUUAUUUUAGUAUCGUAUUUAUAUUUAUUAUAAAAUAUAAAAUUAAUAAAAUUAAAGAGUAUUGCAGUAAAGUAAAAAAAAAAAGUCUUAUUAUCUCUUAUUCACAAUAUGAGAUUCUACAAAAUUAUUUCCCGAAACGGGUGUCCUUUUCUUAUUUUCAAAAGAAAAAAUAAAGUAAGAAUAAGUCCAUGGGUUUCAAAAACUUCUAGUCUUAUCCCGGGACUACAUUGUCUGCCACUAUAACUAAUGGAAAUGACAAUACAAUUGACAUUGCCUUUCGCAACAUGACAAAUUUUUGGUGGGAUAUGGAAGAAUUGUCAAAAGUUCACGCCAUGUAAGAGUUUUUGGUGGGAUGUGGGAGGAUUGUCAAAAUAUCACACCACGUGAUAUAACCACAAUUGCUAUGGUUUUUAUUUUUUAAAUAAUGAUGGGAGUUAUAAAUUAUUUAUAUAAAUUUGCGUAGAAACUAAUGUAACAUAAAAGAAGUAGCUGAAUAAUAAUAUUUGGUGCUUUAGGUAAUUUUUAUAUGAGCCUUUCUUUUAUUUAGCGGCUCUAGUGCUUAAACAAACUUGUUCUCGAUCUUAAUUUACUGACCCCAUUUAAGCCUAUGAUGACAUAAUUAAACAUAUUCUUUUGUGACGAAAACAUCAAGAGAAGACAUCUCAUGUUUUAUUAUAACAGAAAAGAAGUGAUCCAAACGUCUAUUCGUUAUUUUAUUUAUUCAAUAUAAAUGGUCAACUUUAAAAAAAUGAUAAAAAUCACACAACGCUCAAGUAAAAAUUUAGAAUUACAUUUUUUAAAACUCUCUGAGUCUCUCUCUCCUGCCCCCCCCCCCCCCUCUUUUUUUUAAAAUAAACCUUAGUGUAAAAUUAGAAGAAUUUUAGAUAUAAAAUUUGGCAAUCGCUAAACAGAAAAGUAGCGGAUUGAAAAUAAAAAAGCUCUAUUAUCAUAGGAAUAUUGAUUAUACAUAAUAUAAUAACUUGUUGUGGUUCAUUGUAGCACUCUGAGCCAUACUUUAAAAUUUACUGGUUUGUUAAUGCUUUUAUUAUUGACAUUAUUGUGUCAAUAUUACUAUAAUUUAUUCAUUUUAUUGUAAUGAUAAUUUGUGUAGUCUUAGGUACUUAUUAUAUUAAAUUAUGUAAAUUAAUUGAGAAUACUUUUAGAGACAAAAGAAACACGUGUAUGUAGGAUUAAUAAUCGAAGAAUUGUAAAUGAAGGUGAUUGCUUCAUUGAGAGGCAUAUUGAAUAAUUAUGGAGGUUGCACUAUUUCGGAAGCACAUAUUUAUACUUCCCUAUCAGGAUUUGGGGUAAACGAAGUGCUUUAUCUAUUGCAGUAAGCAAUGUGGGCAAUAUCAGAGGCGAAAUAUUAAAAGAUUAUAACGCAUAUAUUUGAGCCAUUUAUAUUGAAGACACAUAUAGAGGAAAGAGUGCAGAUCAGGCUUUCCUCAAGUAUUCUCAUGCUUCCGCAACUGUUCUGAACUAUUCUUCAUUGUGGGCAGAUUUACUUAAUUACCAACACUAUGAUUCAAUACUUCAAAGGUUGAGGAAAUGUCAAAAUAUGAAAUGAAAAUACUUAAAUACCCUUCUACCUAACAAAACUUGGUACUUCUAACUGCACUCGCAGAGAAUAUAUAAAAUUAAAAAAAUAUAUAUUCAUCCAUGAAAAGCUUCGUAACAGAAAAACCAUCUUUAAAAAAAAUAAAAAUAAAAUUAAAAAAAAAAAACAGAAAAACCGACUCAUUUAUCUGCCAAUGAACCAAUUGGGACUCAUUUAAAAAAGAAUACAAAGCAAAAGUGAAUGACACAAAUUGCAUAGAUAUCUAGGUAUAAUUUGUCCAAGUAAUAAAUUCUCCUAGGUCAAAAGCAAUUAACGAUGAAAACUUUCUUCAUUAAGGUUCUGGCCUACGUAAAAAAACAGAAAAAACCACCCCAAGGUCAAAGCACAACGAUAAGUUUAGAACUGCAGUUUUUAAUUUUUUUUAAUAAAUCAAUGUGUAUCAAAAAUAGAUAAUAAUUUUGGAUAACUUUUUUUGAUAAAUAUAGACAUAAAAUUUUAAAAUCACCAAACAGAAAAACAGGGGAAUUAAAAGAGAGCCCUUGUUUCUCCUCUGUUUUGUUUGUUAUCAAACAGUGAAAUGAAAAGAUCGCAAGCGGAAAUUUUGUUUCUGCGUUGUAUCUUCUCAAUGCUGCAUGCAUUCAAAUUAAACCUUAUAUAUGCUAGCAAACUAGCUACUCUGCAUGUAAGUUCUCGAUAAGUCCAAAUAAUAGAAUAAUUGUAAAAUGUUAAAAUUCAGUAAUUAAUUAUACAUAUUUAUUUAUUCAAAAAUUAUUAUUAUUAAUUAUUGUCAAUAUAUAUUAAUAUUCUGAUUAAUUGUAAAAAAUUUAUCAUUCAUAACAAUAAUAAUGAUGAUGAUGAUAAUAAUAAUAAUAAUUCAAAAUAUAUUAAUUAAUUAUAAUAAUAUAUUAAUUAUUUAAUAAUAGUAAUAAAUGUAAAAUGUAUAAAUUGAUUAGAAUAGUUAUAUUAAUAAAUUAUAAACAUAUAUUAAUUAAUCAUAAUAAUUUUUUAAUUGAGGACAAAAUAGACAUUUUAUAGUUUGUGAGAGGGGGUAAAAUGGUCAAUCUUGGGAACGGGGGAUUGAUUCCCACCACCUUCCUUGGGAAUCAAUCUUCCAUUCCUCAUUCCUAAAUUUGGGUGGCCCCAUAAUUCUGAUUUGGAUCCCUGCCUCCAUCAUUAAUGAUUUCGAUUUCGGAUUCCGAUUCCCCAAUCCAAGAAGUAAAGGCACCAUUAUUGUUAAUUGGUUCAAACACACAAAGAGAAUGUACCAUGUAGCUAGGCGUCAAGGUUGUGUUGCACAAGUAACCUUUUUCUUUUCUUUUUAUUUUUCUUGUUUUCCUUAACGGAUCAGAAGAAAUUGGUGCCUUUGAGAUACCACAAUGUAAAUAAGUACUUGUGGUUCAUUGAAUCGGUAACACUCGGUACCCUAAGGUUGCUUUGGAAAAAAGGCUUUUCUCACUGAUCGCCAAUAUCCAAGUAAGUUUGUUUCAUUUCAGAAGGUGCAAAGUUUCAAACUUGUUGUAUUGGGAUGUAACAAACUUUGGCCUCAUAUGCCUGCUGUGACGUUAGACUGUUCAUUUUGAUUGUUUCCUACCUUCCACUUACGCCAUUGUAGCACUGUAUUAUUCACCAUUUUAACUGUUUAAAUGAAAUUUUAUUUUUGUCAAAAAUAAAAUGACACCAUUAAAAUUUAGAAAAAUAAUAAUGUAGAUCCCAAAUUUUUAAAAAAGAAUACCAAUAUUCCCCUUGACUACAAUACCCUUAGUAGGUGGUAAUAAAAAAAAAUUGGCUUAAAAUUUUUACGAAAUGUAAAUAUGAUUUAAAUAAUUUAAAUUUUCCAGUAGACUAAUAUAUAUAAUUUAAAUAUUAAUUUUUAAAAUUUAAAUUAAUUUAUUUGUAUUUAUAAAAUAGUUGUAAUUAUUUUAAAAUUUAACUAAAUCCUUAGGUUAAAUAGAUUUUACAAUUAAUAUAAUAUUUCUCAUGUAUUAAUAAUAUUAAAAUUAUUUUAUAUGAUAUUGAAAAUAACCUAAAUUUUUAUAUAUUUAUUUGAAUAUUAUGCUCUAUUUAUUAUAAUUUGGUUUAAUAGAAUACGAGAUUGUAAAAUAUUAAAAUUUUAAAUAUUGAAAUUAUUUUAAUAUGUAUAUAUUAUUAUAUUUAUUUUAAUAUCCUAUUUAUAUUUAUCAUAAAUUAUUAGAGUUAAUUUUUUUAGUUAAUAAAUUUAAAAAAUAUUAUAAUUUUAAAAAAAAAGUCUUGUUGUCCGUUAUUCACGAUAUGAGGUUCUACAAAAUUAUUUCUCCAGGCGGGUGUCCUUUUUUUAUUUUCAAAAGGAAAAACAAGUUCAGGGCCUCAGGGGUUUCAAAAAAUUCUGGUCCUAUCUACCACUAUGACUAAUGGGAAAUGACAUUGCAAUUGACAUUGCUUUCCGCAAUAUGACAAAUUAUUGGAGGGAUAUGGGAGAAUUGUCAAACGUUCACACACGCGAGAGCUUUAGGUGGGAUAGGGGAGGAUUGUCAAGAGUUCACACCACGAGAAACUAAUGAUAGGCCUAAUUUCGUUGUCAGUUCUUUAUUUAUUUAUUUUAUUUAUUUCAUACAUUAUUGUUUUUAUAAAGGUAUAAAAGUAAAGUAAAAUACCAGGGGUGCUGUUAAGUUACAACUUAUGUAACUUGCAAUUUUUUCAAAAAUAAUGUAAAAAAUUUAAUAGGUGGUGGGACCCACAUAUUUUUUAAGAGACUUAAGUUACAACAGUUGUAACUUAACAAAAUCUAAAUAUUAGACAAUAAUGCAUAUAAUUUGGGUUUGAUUUUUAAAAGAUUAUUUGAGUACCACCUAUCCUUAUGAUAUUAAUCUGAUUAUAUCUUAAUAUUAAAUAAUCAAAAUUUGUUUAAUUAUUAUUUGUAUUUCAUACAUUACAUAUUAGAUUUGUUUGAAUUUUAAGUUGUUGCUAAUAAAUAUUUAUGUUGUCAAAGUCAAAGUCAAUAGCUACAAAAGCAGAGAUAAUGGUAUUGUAUAUAGUUUUUAAGAAUGCAAGGAUAAGCUGGAUAAUUGACUUAAAUUCUAAUGAUUAAAAGAGCAACUAUCCCUUAAGUUAUAAUGUCAAUUUCUUUAAUUAGAAAUUUUUUUUUUCAUGUGAUAUAACCUCAAUUGCUACAAUUUUUUUUAUAAUAAUAAUGGGAGUUAUAAAUUAUUUAUAUAAAAUUUGGGUUGAAACUAAUGUAACCUAAAAGUGGUUGCUAAAUAACAAUAUUUGAAACUUUAAGUAAUUUUCAUGAGUCCUUUUUAUAUUCAGCAACUUGAAUUGGGGGAAAUCCGACUUGAAUUGGCGGUUGAUUUUGGUGAUGUGGCUUUUGGUUUACGCCGGCUUUACAGUGGCGGAAGACUGGAUUUACGGUUGCCGAAUGCUAGGGAUUAUGGUGGUGGUGUAAAUUGACGGAAAAAGAAGGUGUUUUGGUGGCGGCGCAUCUAGGAAGCACUCGUGGGUUGUCGUUUCGUGUGCUGACAACGGGCGGCGAUCAAGGGCUGAAGUUGGUUGGUUUUUGGUCAACGGAGGCCGGCGAGUUUGUUGGUGGAGGUGGUUGGUGGAGAAAGUGGCUGAAUGGUGGUGGGUUGCUUGGUGGAGCCGUGGGUUUGGGUUGGUGAUUUGCGGCUGUUGAGGCAGCGAUGACUGAGGCUUGGUCAACUGUGGCUAGUGAGGUUUGUGGUGGUGUUGGCUGGCUGAUCGGCGGUGGUGGGCGGCGGUGGAGGUUGAUGUGACGGGUUGGGUUUUCAAAUUUGUAAAUUUUGUUUUUUGAUGGAUUUGGUUUGGAUAGGUAUGGUGUAUCUAGGAAAGAUGUGCGAUUCGCACAUAAUCAUCUUGAUACCAAUUGAUGGAGCGAGGCGUAGCGGAAGCAGAAUUGAUAGGGUAAGAAACAUUAGAUAUUGUUCUAGUACUAGACCAAGCCAACGCGAUUAGUUCACGCUCUAAUCGAAGCAUGAUUAGAUAUCGUUAUAAUCCAAAUGACUCAAUGAGAUUUUUAAUAAUGCGUAAUACGAGAUUAGAUGACACUCUAAUCCAAACGACUCUACAAGAGAGAUUUUGAUAAAUAAUCCUAGAGAAAAUUAUAAAAGAGGGGUUUUAUUUAAUAAUUGAACUUGAAGUUAUGAAAAUAAUGACAAGACAUCUUUAUUUUUUUUAUUACAAAUAUCUUUAUUUAUAAUAGAAGAAACCCGCUUUCCUAAGUUAACCUAAAAAGAAAAUUUAAAUCAUAAUUAUAAUGGAAAUAAAAGAUUAAAAUACAUACCAUAAUUAACUCAAACUAAAAUAGAAAAUCAUAAAAUAAUAAAUAUUCUAGAAUUAUAAAUUAUCUAAAAUAACGUUAAUUAACUUCUUAAAUCACUUCUUUGGUGUUAACCAUUUUGCAUCCAACCUCGCUUUAAAGGUUUGAACCAACGUUACCAACAAUAAUGUAUCAAAUUCCAAUCUAACUUAAGAUCCUGAUACAUCUACCGAUGUCCUUGUUUGAUUAGACAAUAAUGAGUCUAUCUCAUCACUUGUUACCUCUUUCUUGAAGGCUGCAUCUGUUGAAGUGAUAGUCUCGUUUAGAGUUUAAAGAUCUUCUUCCAUGUUAAAUAAAAUGGGCAUUUGAUUAAAAAACUUUAUCUCUAUCUCCUUCUAUCAAAUAACGACAACUAUCCGAAGGGAAAAAAAAUUAGAAAAGUCCAUGGGUCACAAUAAUUUAUGGUCUGUUCCCGGACCCCAUUAUCUGCCACUAUCAAUGAUGAAAAUGAAAAUAAAUGGCAUCUUCCCAAAAUGGCAAAAGAUUUUUGGGGGAUAUGGGGGAAUUGUCAAAAGUUCACACAACGCGAAACAAGUGUUACAUCCAAUUUUAUUUCGUCAUAUAAUGAUAAUAUCAAAUAAUGACAACCAUCCAAAAGUAUGAUGGGUCUUCCACAAUUUUGAAAAUGUCGUCAACAUUUAAUCUUCAAUGCUAAAGAAGAUGAAAUGACCAAAAAUGACACGCAGGACCAACUUACAGACUAAAUGGCUCUGACCACAUGUAACAAACUUUGGCUUUAUGUCCUUGCUGAGGCGUUAGACUGUUGGUCAUUUUGAUUGCUUUUUACCUUCCAUUUACGCCAUUGUAGCAUUGUACUAUUCACCAUUUUAGCUGUUUAAAUGAAAUUGUUAUUUUUUUUUCCAAAAAUAAAAUGACACCCUUAAAAUUUUAGAAAAUAGCCAUGUAGAUCCCAAAUUUUUAAUAAAGAACACUAAUAUCAUUUUUGACUAUAGUACUCUUAGUAGAUGGUAACAAAAAAAAAUGACUGCAAAAGUUUUUACUAAAUGUAAAUAUGAUUUAAAUAGUUUAAAUUUUCUAGUAGACUAGUAUGUCUAAUUUAAAUAAUUAAUUUUUAAAAUGUAAUUUAAUAUAUUUAUUUUAAUAAUAUAUUUAUCAUAAAAAUUUUAAACAAAUCCUUGGGUUAAAUAGAUUUUAUAAUUAAUAUAAUAUUUCUCAUGUUUUAAUAAUAUUAAAAUUAUUUGAUAUGAUAUUGAAAAUAAUUAAAACUUUUAUAUAUUUAUUUGAAUAUUAUUUCUCUAUUUAUUAUAAUUUGGUUUAAUAGAAUACGAGAUUGUAAAAUAUUAAAAUAUUUUUAGGUAUUAAAAUUAUUUUAAUAUGUACAUAUUAUUAUAUUUAUUUUAAUAUCCUGCUUAUAUUUAUUAUAAAAUAUUAAAAUUAAUUUUUUUAGUUAAUAAAUUUAAAAAUAUAUAUUAUAAUUAAAAAAAGAGUCUUAUUGUCUGUUAUUUACGAUAUGAGGUUCUACAAAAUUAUUUUCAAAAGGAAAAAUAAGUCUAAGGGUUUCAACAAAUUCUAGUCCUAUCUGCCACUAUGACUAAUGGAAACGACAUUGCAAUUGACAUUGCUUUUUGUAAUAUGACAAAUUUUUGGAGGCAUAUGGGAGAAUCAUCAAAUGUUCACACUACGCGGGAGUUUUGGAUGGGAUCAGGGAGGAUUGUCAAGAGUUCACACCACGAGAAACCAAUGAUAGCCCUAAUUUCGCUGUCAGUUCUUUGUUUAUUUAUUUUAUUUAUUUCAUACAUUGUUGUCUUGUUGGCAUUGUUUUGUAAAAUAAAAGUAAAGUAAACUAUUAGGGUGCUGCUAGGUUAAGUUGUUGUAACUUACAGUCCCUUAAAAAAUAAUGUAAAAAAUUUAACAUGUGGUGGGAUCCACAUAUGUUUGAAGAGGCCGUAAGUUACAGUAGUUGUGACUUAGCAAAAUCCAAAUAUUAGACAAUAACGCACAUUAACAAUGCAUAUAAUUUGGGUUUUAUUUUUUUUUAAUUAUUUGAGUAUUAUCUAUCCUUAAGAUAUUAAUGUGAAUAUAAUUUAAUAUUAAAUAAUCAAAAUCUAUUUAAUCAUAAUAUAUAUUUCAUACAUUGCAUGUUUAAUCAAAAUCUGAUUGCUUUUUACCUUCUAUUUCGCCCACUGUAGCAUUCUACUAUUUACCAUUUUAGCUAUUUAAAUGAAAUUUAUUUUUUUUCCAAAAAUAAAAUGACACCCUUAAAAUUUUAGAAAAUAGUCAUGCAGACGCCAAAAUUUUAAUAAAGAACACCAAUACCCUUUUUGACUAUAGUACUCUUAUGGUAGCCACAAAAAAAAAAUGACUUCAAAUUUUUUUACUAAAUGUAAAUAUGAUUUAAAUAGUUUAAAUUUUCUAGUAGACUAGUAUGUAUAAUGUAAAUAAUUAAUUUUUAAAAUGUAAUUUAAUAUAUUUAUUAUAAAAAUUUUAAACAAAUCCUUGGGUUAAAUAGUUUUUAUAAUUAAUAUAAUAUUUCUCAUGUUUUAAUAAUAUUAAAAUUAUUUUAUAUGAUAUUGAAAAUUAUUUUAUAUGUAAAUCAUAUUUACAUUUAAUAGAAUACGAGAUUGUAAAAUAUUAAAAUAUUUUUUGGUAUUGAAAUUAUUUUAAUAUGUAUAUAUUAUUAUAUUUAUUUUGAUAUCCUACUUAUAUUUAUUAUAAAAUAUUAAAAUUAAUUUUUUUAGUUAAUAAUUUAAAAAAAAAUAUUAUAGUUAAAAAAAAAGAGUCUCAUUGUCCGUUAUUCACGAUAUGAGGUUCUACAAAAUUAUUUUCAAAAGGAAAAAUAAGUCCAGGGCUUUCAACAAAUUCUAGUCCUUCUGCCACUAUGACUAAUGGAGACGCAUUGAAUUGACAAUGCUUUUUGCAAUAUGACAAAUUUUUGGAGGGAUAUGAGAGAAUCGUCAAGCUUUCACACCAUGCGAGAGCUUUAGGUGGGAUAUGGGAGAAUUGUCAAGAGUUCACACCACGAGAAAUUAAUGACAAGCCUAAUUUCGUUGUCAGUUCUUUAUUUAUUUAUUUUAUUGAUUUCAUACAUUAUUGUCUUGUUGGUACUAUUUUGUAAAGAUAUAAAAGUACAAGUAAAAUAUUAGGGAAAGUAAAGUAAAAUAUUGGAGGUGAUGCUAAGUUACAGCUGCUAUAACUUACAGUUCCUUCAAAAAUAAUGUAAAAAAUUUAACACGUGGUGGGACCCACAUUAUGUUUGAAGAGGCCGUAAGUUAUAGCAGUUGUAAACUAGUAAAAUCCAAAUAUUAGACAAUAAUACACAUUAACAAUGCAUAUAAUUUGGGUUUGAUUUUUAAAAAAAUUAUAUGAGCAUUACCUAUCCUUAAGAUAUUAAUGAGAAUAUAUUUUAAUAUUAAAUAAUCAAAAUAUGUUUAAUCAUAAUAUGUAAUUCAUACAUUGCAUGUUAGAUUUGUUUGGAUUUUAAGUUGUUGCUAAUAAAUAUUUAUGUUGUGAAAGUCGAAUUCAAUAGCUACAAAAGCAGAGAUACUGGUAUUUUAUGUAGUUUUUAAGAAUACAAGAAUAAGACCAUAAUGCAUGAGAUAAUGGUAUUUUAUAUUAAAAGACCAUAACACAUGUAUUUGAGCCAUUUAUAUUGAGGACACAUAUAAAGCGAAGAGUGCAGAUCCGGCCGUAACUAUUGUGAAGCUUUCCUCAAGUAUUCUCAUGCACACAGCCCUUAUCUGGUCAAGUUCUCUGAUUCAAUAUAAUCAAUUUCCGAGUAGUACUGACGACAGCUUCUCUGUAAAGCUCUUCAACCACAAGCAUUUCUACAAGGCAAAAGACUAGGACGUAUUGGAAUGAAUAUCAAUAAGGGAAUGUCUUAUGAAUUUAGUUUAUAUCCUAAUAUAAGACAAUCAGUAAAUAUUGGAUGCAAUCUAAGGGCUAACAUUUGAUUGAUCAUUAUACGAAAAAAAAAAAAGGUGCAAAAAUACAAAACAUAGCUGAUUGAUGGCCUCUCACAGUCAGUUAUAUGACAAAGUAGCCACCACAACAAACUUUUUUUUUUGAACUGAUUAAGCAUCAGGUUACUGUAUUACACAUAGAGAUAUAUAUAACUGCUAUGACAGCAAGUCAUUAUACUGAUAUUUACAAUCAGAUAUAUACAUGAGACUUAUAUUAUUACAUUUUUAUUAUAUGAAGUACAUGCCCAUCCAAAUCUCCCUCACGGAGGAGGGAUGUCUCUACUCCACUCACAUUUCGCAAGGGAGAAAGACGUUAUAAGAAGUUUUCACCACAACAAACUUGAACUUGGGUGGAGGUCUCAUUAGUAGUAUACCUCAGAAAUUAAGACAAAGACUUUAAAAUGCAAACUUAUGGAGCAAUUUAAGCACUGAAACUAAUAACAGUACGGUAUUAGCAAUUGACCUCUGCUUUUGCUUAGACAAAGGUUUUCAUCACAAUGGACUCAUUAGUUGCCCUUGCCUCACACGUUUGGAUGCUAAGGGGAAAAAGGAAGCUUGAAUUAGUCAAUCUCAUUUCUAAUGGCAUUCACAGAGAACUUAUAAAACAAAAAAAAAAAAAAAUUAUAAAAAAAAAUUCAUCCAUAAAAAGCUUAGUAACGGAAAAAUCGACUCUUUUAUCUGCCACUGACGAAAAAAAAACUGAAGUAUUAAAUAGAUAAAGAAUUUAAUUUUUUUCUUGGAAAAACUAAUAAUAAAUUAACAAUUAGAUAAUACUAUUAAUUAGAGAUCUUUAAUAUUAAGGUUGUCAAAGAUAGAAUGUGUAUAAAAAUUCUUAAUUAUAAGAUAAUUACUAACUAAAAAGAGGCCUAAAAAAGAAGAUUUGCUAUUAUAAGUAAUACCAAAAAUAAAAAGGGAGACUUCCUAAUUGUGUAAUUGGUUAAAAAAGAGGAUUUGCUAUUAUAGGCCUAAUUUGCCUAUGCUUAAAACCGUUCCUGGAUGUAAAAAAAUAAAAAUUAUUGUUAAAUUCCUGACUAAUAAGGUCAUUGAAAGUAUUCAAAGGACCUGAACUUAUAGGAAAGCCAGCCAUGAUGAACUAUACCACGUUGCAAGUGAGCUCGUAUCUUCACCCCUUGAUCUGCCAUCGGCAUUUCUCUUCCACUCACUAUACCAUCCUUUUCAAUCGAUUUUUAUAGAUCAUAAGAGACCAUGUGGCCCACCUUAUUUUUAUUUUGGAUCCAUAACCCAAAGCUGGCCCAAGUUCUGAUUCCAGAAUCAUUUGUCUACAAAGUGACCUCAUUCCGGCAAUUGGUUUAUGCUAAUAGCACGUGCAAUUUUCAUUUUCUUCUUUUUAUUAAUUAAUUUCAUCAUUAUUAUUUGCUUAUUAUUUUAAAAUUAAAGCUAGCAUUUUUCAAAUUAAUUAAUUAAAUUGUAUUAAUGAAAUUAAUCUUUCAUUUUCUUUUCUCUUUCAAUGCACAAAGCCAAACAACCAUUCUCGCUUCAAAUACCGAAGAGCUCCUGACUACGGCUGUCAAUGCUUCUAUAUUUACGUGCUGUGCUGCAUCACUCUUAGCGAAAGCUUGAAUGAAUGAUUAAAGACAAAAGCUUAUAUAAAAGCAGAUGCCGGAGGCAGUCAAAAAGCAUUUGAGAGAGAAGCUAAACAGCAAAUCAUCAAACGCACUUCAAUGACUUUAUUUUGAUUUUGAUUUUUGUUUCGAAAGAAGUAGAAAAGUCCAUGGGUCACGAUAACUGCUUGUCCUAUGCCGUGACCUCAUUGUCCACCGCUAGUGUCAAAUAGAUUAAUCUUUCUAGUAGAUUAAUAUAAUUUAUAAUUUUAAUUUCAGUAUUAAUUUUUAAAAUGUUAGUUGUUAUAUUUAUUUUAAUAAUAUAUCUAUUUUUAGUAUAAAAAAUUUAAAUGUAUAUUUAGAUUAAAUAGAAUUUAUAAUUAAUAUAAUAUAUCUCAUGUAUUAAUGAUAUUUAAAUUAUUUUAUAUAAUAUUAAGCCUAACUUAGAAUUAUAUAUAUUUAUUUUAAUAUUAUGUUUCUAUAUAUUAUAUAAUAUUAAGCCUAACUUAGAAUUAUAUAUUAUGUUUCUGAGCCUCUCUCUAUAACACUAUAUAGAACCCUAAGCCUAAGUGUCACGGGAUGAGUGUUUUGCGCAGCUAACCCGUGCGGCACUUAGACAACUUUGCCGAAUGUUGCUAAGUAAGCCUAGAGAUUCUCGAACAAGAGAAGAGAGCAAUUGAGCCAAAGAAACUUGUAUUGCACAAAGAGAGAUUACAAUGCUUGUUGGAUACAAAUGCCUAAUGCCAUCCCAUAUUUAUAGGGGAGGCUUUGUCAAACUUGGCCUAACUUUGCCAAACUUUGCCAAACUCUAGAGUAUUCUACAAUUUCCUAGCUAUUUACAUGUGCUGGAAUUGUAUAAAGAAUUCUAGAAUAUUUACAUGUUCACAUGUGCUAGAGUUUCCUAGAACCUUCCGGAAUUGGGCCAAGCUAGCACUCUUGGCUUUGUGUUGGCUCUCUAGCUCGAAAUUGGGGCAAUUGGGCUAGCGAAUUGGGCGGUCCGCAACAACCUCCCCCACCUAUGCUCGCGGCGUCCUCGUCGCGCUCUCAUGCUUGAACCUCUGGAUGUGCUCAGCGAAUUGCCACAAACCAUCUUCACGUUCCCAAGUGGCUUCACUCUCGGGGAGGUUUUUCCAUUUCACCAAGUACUCGCUAUGUGCUGGCACGCCCCUCCUCGAAACCGUGCGGUCCGCAAUGAUGUAGUCCACAUCUUUGUCGAAUGCGGUGACAACGGCAGUUGGUGCGCGCCUUGAUUCUCCGCGACCUGGUUCUCCCAUGUCUUCGUGAUAUGGCUUGAGAAGGCUCACAUGGAAGACCGGAUGGAUCUUGAGUCUUGGCGGAAGUUGGAGUUGAUACGAGACGUUGCCCACACGUCGAACAACUCGGAAGGGUCCCUCGUAGCGCCUCACUAACCCCUUGUGAACUUUCCGCAAUGUCUUGAAUUGUUGGGGUAGGAGCUUGAUCAUGACUUGAUCUCCUUCCUUGUACUCAACAUGCCGUCUCCUUGUAUCCGCCCAUUUCUUCAUUUUCCUCGCGGCUUUGUCGAGGUAGGCUCGCGUGAUGUCCGCUUCCUCAUGCCAUUCGCGGGCGAGCUUGUGUGCCGCGGGGCUUUUCCCUCCGUAAGUCGAGGCUAUGGCAUUGGGAGUCAUUGGCUGGAAUCCCAUGAUGAUCUCGAACGGACUCUUGCCCGUAGCCUCGCUUCGCUGCAAGUUAUAAGAAAAUUGGGCGAUGUCGAGUAGCUUCGCCCAAUCCCGCUGGUGAGCGCUCACAUAAUGCCUCAGAUACAUCUCGAGGAGGCCGUUAAUGCGCUCGGUCUGCCCAUCCGUUUGUGGGUGGAAGCUUGUCGAGAACUUGAGAUCGGUCCCCAACAUCUUAAAGAGUUCCGUCCAAAACCGCCCAGUGAACCAAGGGUCUCGGUCGCUCACAAUGCUCUUCGGAACUCCCCAAAGCUUCACAAUGUGCUUGACAAAUAGGCGGGCUGCCUCAUCCGCUUUGCAAUCCACUGGUGCGGCAAUGAAUGUGGCGUACUUGCUGUGUCGGUCGACAAUGACCAUGAUGCUUCCGCAACCUUCGGACUUGGGCAGCGAUGUGAUGAAGUCCAUGGAGACACUUUCCCAUGGCCUUGUUGCUAGUGGUAGCGGCUCCAACAAUCCCGCUGGAAGUUGAUGAUCCACCUUGUCUUGUUGGCACACAAGACAAGUUCGCACAUAUGCCUCGAUGUCGUCCCUCAUGUGCGGCCAAAAAUACGAGGCUUGAACUAGUGCGGUGGUGCGCUCGAUUCCUGGGUGACCAGCCCACUUGGAGUCGUGGCACUCCUUGAUAACUUCCUUCCGCAAAUUUCCCCACCUUGGCACAAACAGCCGAUCUCCCUUGGUGAGGAGGAUGCCUUCCUCUUGCCAAAAUCGCCUUGUCUUCCCUUCGAGCACCUUCUCCAGCAAAUCCUUUGUUAGCGGGUCUUGUUGGAGGCCUUCCUUGAUGCGUGAGACAAGGUCGGACUUCGGUUGGCUCAUGCUAAGUGUUGCCAAUUCCGCCUUGCGGCUUAGAGCGUCCGCAACGACAUUGGCUUUCCCCGGUUUGUACUCUAGCCGAUAGUCGAAUUCCGCAAGGAAAUCUUGCCACCGUGUUUGCUUCGGACUCAACUUCUUUUGAGUUUGAAAGUAGCUUGUCGCCACGUUGUCCGUUAUGAUCGUGAAGUGUGAGCCAAGCAAGUAAUGUCGCCACACUCUUAGACAAUGGAUGAUGGCUGUCAUCUCCUUUUCUUGCACCGUGUAGCGGCGUUCCGUAUCAUUUAGCUUUCGACUCUCGAACGCUAUUGGGUGGCCUUCUUGCAUAAGGACUCCACCUAUGGCGAAAUCCGAGGCAUCUGUUUGAACUUCGAAGGGCUUGGUGUGGUCCGGAAGAGCGAGGACUGGUUCCUCCGAAAUUGCCUUCUUCAACUCCUCGAAUGGACGUUGGCACUCUUCGGAUCAAUGCCACGUUCUGUUUUUCUUGAGCAUAUCCGUCAAGGGUGCCGCCUUGGCUGAAUAGCCCUUGAUGAAAUGGCGGUAGUAAUUCACCAACCCAAGGAACGAGCGAAGCUCGGGUACUUUCGAGGGAGGCUCCCAAUCGAGGAUGGCCUCUACUUUGUCAUUCUCCAUCAUGAUCUUCCCGCCCGCAAUCUUAUGGCCAAGGAACUCCACCUCUUGUUGGGCAAACGAGCACUUCUCUAGUUUGAGGAAGAGCUCAUUGUCUUGAAGUACUUGGAGGACUUUUUGCAAGUGUUGGGCAUGAUCCUCGAGUGUGGUGCUAUACACCACGAUGUCGUCCAAGUACACGACCACGAAGCGGUCGAGGAAUGGUUGGAGUACCUUGUUCAUGAGUGUGCAAAAUGUGGCGGGUGCAUUAGUAAGGCCAAAAGGCAUCACAAGGAAUUCGAAAGACCCGUACCUUGUUGUGCACGCUGUCUUUGGUUCGUCUCCCUUGGCGAUGCGCACUUGGUAGUACCCGGAGCGCAAGUCAAGUUUGGUGAAGUACCGCGCUUUGCCAAGCUGGUCGAACAAGUCCGCAAUCAAUGGAAUCGGAUACUUGUUCUUGAUGGUGAUCUUGUUGAGCGCUCUAUAGUCGAUGCACAUCCGCAGCGAUCCAUCCUUUUUCUUUUGGAAGAGGACCGGUGCACCGAAUGGGGCCUUUGAGGGGCGAACGUAGCCUGCGUCCAGCAAGUCUUUGAGCUGUCUCCGCAACUCCUCUAAUUCGGGUGGCGCCAUGCGGUAGGGCGCCAAGGCUGGUGGCUUCGCGCCUUGUUCUAGCUCAAUCGCAUGAUCUACCUCUCGCGGAGGUGGGAGCUUCUUCGGAAGUUCUGGAGGCAUCACGUCCUUGUACUCAUUGAGGACGGCUUGAAUUCGCGGAGGGACUUGGCUUGGCGACGUUCCGCUAUUUCCUUCCUCGUUUAGUUCCCGAAUGGAGACCAAGAAGCUUGGGUCCUUCUUGAAAGCCCUCUUGAAUUGCAUGGCGGAGAGUUUCUUCUCCUCGGACUUGCCUCGUUCGGUGGGUACCAUGCAUGCUUUGCUCCCAUCGAGGAUGCUUAGGGAGUUUGUAGCGGGCAGCGGGAAGGCAUGGACUUGGUCGAAGAAUUCCAUGCCAAGGACCAUCUUGAAGUCAUCCAUGGGCACAAUGGAGAAAUCAAGCUUUCCGCUCCAUGUACCGAGUGUGAUGUGCACGCCUUGUGCAAUUCCCGCAAUUGGUUUGGCGGGUGAGUUUACUGCCUUCAUUGUGCCUCCUUCCUUGGUGGCCUUGAGGCCUAAACGCUUGGCCUCGUCUACGGACACGAAAUUGUGUGUUGCUCCCGUGUCUAGCAGCGCGCGAACAGACUGGCCGUUUACCUUUGCGCUAACAUACAUGAGCCCUUUCUUGGCUAGUGCGGGCUGUUGGCGGUUGAGUGCCCCGAGGCGUUGGAGAGAACCCAUGCUGAGUUGGGGUUCCUCCGUGGACAUUGUGGGGUUGCUCUUGAGUUGGGCAGCAAGAACAUUAAGCGACCGCUUCUCCGGACAGUCGCGUACCCAAUUUGGACCGUUGCAUAUGAAGCAUGGGCUUCGCGGCUUUGGCGCCUCCUUCUUGCCCUCCGAUUUUCCUUGCCAACUCUUGUUGCUAGACGGCUUUUUCUGCCCCCAAUCUUUGCGGUUGUUACCCUUGUCCUUGCGACUCUCUCCCCCACCUUUGCCUUGGUUGGCCUUUUUGUCCUUGGAUUGGGUAGAGUAUUCGGUGAGCGACUCCGCAACGGCGAUGGCGUCGUCAAGUGUUUGAACACCACGCCUAUCAAGCUCGGUCUUGGCCCAAUCCUUGAGGCCAUCUUGGAAGUAGAAGAGUGAAUCUUUGUCGGACAUGUCACUUAUCUCCAACAUGAGGGUAGAGAACUCGUUAAUGUAGUCCCGAAUGCUACCCGAUUGCUUGAGGCGACGUAAGCGCGCUCGCGCUUCCUUCUCUGCAUUGCUUGGGGUGAACUGCUUUCGGAGUUCUUGCUUGAAGUCGGCCCAAGUGUCGAUGGUGCAAAUGCCCUUGCCCAUCUCGCCAUGCUUGCGACGCCACCAUAGUUGUGCAGCGCCUCUAAGAUAGGUGGGUGCAGUGCCCACUUUCGAUGCCUCAUCUCGUACACCCAUGGCAUCGAAGUAUUGAUCCAGCCCGAACAGGAAGUUGUCCACGAUUGUGGCAUUGCGUGUGCCAUCGUAGGUGUCGGGCUUUGGCACAUCAAUGCGGCGCGCAUCACUCGAGUUUGCGGAAGCUGGACUUGCGGAGAGUGUGCGCUUGUGCCAUGCCCAAUCCGAGCGGACUUCAUCCACUUCCGCACGGACAGCACGUAGUUCGUCCUGAACAAAACUACGAAGUUUUAGCAACUCAUCAUGGAAAGAAUGAAACUCACCUCGGAGAAUGUUCGCUUGCUCAUGCAUGAGAGCUUUUGUGGCCACCGUGAACUCGGCGUAUUCUCCCUCGAGAUUGUCCACUCUUCUCUCUAAUCCCUCAAGGCUAUCUUGAGUGGCGGACAAGGCUAUUUCGAGAGUGCCUACACGAGGCUCCAAAGCAUCCACGGAUGGGGCCUUGGACUUGCCGCGAUUCUUGCCUUGGGCGCGUUCUCCCUCUCGGCCGCGGCUUGGUUCUGGUGGAACAUCCACACCAACAAAACCCUCUUGUGCUACGUUUGAAGGGUUGGCCAUUGCUUUGUGAGCUAAUUUGCGUGCGUGCAAACCUUAGCUCUGAUACCACUUGUCACGGGAUGAGUGUUUUGCGCAGCUAACCCGUGCGGCACUUAGACAACUUUGCCGAAUGUUGCUAAGUAAGCCUAGAGAUUCUCGAACAAGAGAAGAGAGCAAUUGAGCCAAAGAAACUUGUAUUGCACAAAGAGAGAUUACAAUGCUUGUUGGAUACAAAUGCCUAAUGCCAUCCCAUAUUUAUAGGGGAGGCUUUGUCAAACUUGGCCUAACUUUGCCAAACUUUGCCAAACUCUAGAGUAUUCUACAAUUUCCUAGCUAUUUACAUGUGCUGGAAUUGUAUAAAGAAUUCUAGAAUAUUUACAUGUUCACAUGUGCUAGAGUUUCCUAGAACCUUCCGGAAUUGGGCCAAGCUAGCACUCUUGGCUUUGUGUUGGCUCUCUAGCCCGAAAUUGAGGCAAUUGGGCUAGCGAAUUGGGCAGUCCGCAACAUAAGUCUCACAUUCGCAACCGCCCCACAUAUCAGAACCACAGCGAACUGCCUCCGACCCUUCGGACCCAAAAAAAUGAUUGUAUUCCUGCUCUUUCACUUUAAUAAUUUUUUGUAUUAUUCCAUAUCUUUCACUUUAAUAACCCAAAAGCUUUCCUCUGUUUCAACCCAAAAGCUCAAAUUCCUUUUUUCAAUCGAAAAUUGUGUUUGCCUAAUUUUUUAACCAUUUUUAUAUGUCCGUUAAACUUGACAGCCAAUGUGGUCUAUUCGCUAAACAGAGUAAACGAUAACAAUCAAUGGAAAUUGAAACAAAACCCACCAAUCAACAAAACAGAAUAGCCGAGGAAUCCAAUUUCAGGAAACAGCAGUUUCAAAACUCACCAGAGACAAAUGAUAAAACGAAGCUACGCCGUUCCUCGAUCGGUGAUAACUGGCUACAAGGUUUCUUCGCAUUCGUUGGCCUAAUUUUUUAACCAUUUUUAUAUGUCCGUUAUGCUUGACAGCCAAUGUGGUCUAUUCGCUAAACAGAGUAAACGAUAACAAUCAAUGGAAAUUGAAACAAAACCCACCAAUCAACAAUGUGGUCUAUUCGCUAAAUGGUUAAAAAAUCUAACCUUUGUUCACAAUAAUUGUAUUUGCCUCACUGUUUUUGUUUUAUGAGAUCUAUAAUUGAUCUUGGGAUAUUACUUUCUAGUUCUCAUGCAAGCAAGUUACUACCUUCCCACUGCAUCUCCUCCUUUAUCUGCUAUUCAAGAGUUGCGUGCCAUAAUCUGGUGUUACCUCUGCAAGAUUGUGAAUGAAUAUAACGCCUCUAAAUUUAUUUUAUACAUAAUGCUGAUGCUGAAUAAUAUAUUGUAGCUCCUGUCAUAUUCUACUUUGACUUUUUAUAUUCUGUUUCAUAUAAAAAUCUUAUUCAACUUUAGUUGUUCAUGAGCAAAUGUCACAUGUAUAAGCCCAAAUGAUGUUUAAAGGUAGCGCGGCUACCUUUAGUUUGAGCUGACAAUGGAUGAAAAAGAUAUUGAAACUGAUAUUUUGCUGUUUUUCUGAUUUUUCAAAGUAUUUUAGAUCCUGACUUUUGUUAAGUUGUUUCCAACACCUCGUGCCAAAUGAAAGCACAAUCUUUCUGAUUCAGAUGUCUUGUUAAUUAUGCUUCAUUUUUUCAUUAAAGAUUGGAUGGUUACAUGGAUUGAUGGAGUUGGAGUUCAACCAAUAAUUCUAAUUUUUUGGACUUAAAAUGCCUUUUUCUUCUGUAUAAAAACUUUAGUAAGUGCUAUUGAGUUGACAGAAGUUGCAUACUUACAGGUUGUUUCACACUUUUUAGUAGUUUUACAUAUAUGAAUUUCUGUUUUUUGAAUUGCAGAAAGGAGGUGGAACUAUUGAUUUGGAGCCUUAUCUUACUCACUCAUCGACAACGGAGCCUACCCUCACUCCCAUGGCAGUGGAACGGACAACGACUACUAGGGCUGCAACAUCAGUUGGUUUGGGUCUGUUUUGGGUUUAUUGUCAUUUAUUUGGGUAUGUUUUGAUAGCGAAUUUUGAUAUGUCAAUAGAAUGUGUAAUUGUUUUGGGUUGAGCUGGUAAUUAUGCUGGAUUAGAUUGGUUUGGUUUUGGUGCUUCUCUGAUGGAACACUGCUUUUUUUAGAAAUUUUGAAUGUAAUAUGAGACUACAUUUAGUUUAAUUGAACACUGCAUCUAGUCUAAUUACUAGAAGUGUGGCAUUUGGUUUGGUUUAUCCGAUAUUCUCCAGAAUUUCACUUGCAUCUGGUUUUGUUGCAUAUGUUUGUUUGCUUGCAUUUGAUGGCAGUAGCAGACUGUUUGUUUUUGUGACAUUUGAUGGCAGUUUGGUCUGUUCUUGGUGUUGAUUUAAGAUUCUUCCUGUUGUGCUGAUGUUAAUUGCAGGUGCUUGAAUCAGCUAGGGUUGCUGGUUUAUUCAGAUGGUUGACUCAGGCGUUGCUACUGGUUAAUUCAGGUGGCUGACUCAAGUUGUUCAUUUAAUGUUAGGAAGCAAAUUAGGAAUUAAUGAAGUAUUCAUUUAACUAUAAUUAUUGUAGUUAUUUUAUUUCAUAACUGAAUUAUAAUCUAUGAUACUUGUGAACAAAUUAGAGAAUUUUUAUAUAUGAAUUAUAUAUAUGUGUGUGUAUGUACAUUUUGCUAUUUAUAUAAUAAUUUAAAGAAUAUAUUUCAAUUCCCACAAAAAAAAGGCUCCAAUUUCAAUAAUUCCCGCCAAAUAAUUAAAUUUUUUUAAUUUACCACCAAAAUAUAUCUUAAGUUAUUCUUGCUAGAUUUAACAAAAAUAAUUUGUAGGAUUAACAUUUAAUUAAAAUAAUUAAAUAAUUUUAUUAUUCCAAUUAAAUAUGUCAUGCUUAUACGACAGACAAUAAUCAUGAAUGGGAAGUAUUAGUAACAUAUUCUUCCUUGGGAUUUCAGGCAAAUGAAAAAAAGAUUGAGAAUGAUUUCAAGAGGACAGGUGGAUGAUAAAUAUUCAUUUUUGUAUAUUUGGCUAAUGUCCUCAUUAGUGGAUUUUUAUGGUAUUGAUCUUUUUCUUUUUUUAAAAAAAUUUUCAAUUAGUUGCAGCCCUAGAGGAAGAGCAGGCUGAUCAAAUUGAUUUGUCUUGUUUUUCGGGCAAUCUACGACACGAUGACCGUGAUAAUGCUCGUGACUGCUGGAAACUUUCUGAUGGAAAUAACUUUAGAGUUCGUAGCAAGCAUUUUUGUUAUGACAAAACAAAGGUUCCCCCAUAUUUUGUUUGUUUGUUAUGGUAUUUAUAUAUCCUGCAUAGGCUAGGUAGACAGGUUAUGAUGUAGUUUGGUUGGCUCUUCUUGUGCUUUGUGCAAUUUGUAACUGCAGAUACCUGUGGUAAAACAUUUAAUGGAUCUUGUUGCUGUUGAUUGGUUCAAAGACACAAAGAGAAUGGACCAUGUAGCUAGGCGUCAAGGCUGUGCUGCACAAGUAACUAUUCUUUUCUUUUUAUUUAAAAAAAUAAAACACAUUGCCAACAAGGAUCUCUUCAUUGAACAUGUGUCUAGUUCUGAUAAGCUAGCUGAUGUGCUUACCAAACCUCUGAGUUUUGAUCAUUUUGCCUAUAUGCAAACUAAGGUCAAUGUCUGCCCAUGACCUUGAGCUUACGGGGGCAUUUUAAGAAUAACAUAUGCUGAGUCAUCAAGCCAUGCUGGAAGUCAGUUUUGCAGUUAGUUAGAGAGCUUAUCAGCUUCCCUCCAAAAGUUUGUUAUGUGUAUUAGAAUCUGGGCUCACGAGUUUUGUGAGAUUGUAACCUUGAGAAGAUUCUCACACUACUAUAAAUUGUAUUGUGACUCAAUUAAUAAAAUAAGUUGAAGCUUUGCAUUUUCUCUCAGUCAAAAUUUUCUCUCUAUUUUUCUAAGUAACCAAACAAGAUCUACAGAGCAUUUUGUAUUUUAACUGGAGCGGCUGAUUGGUGCUGUACGUGUUACAUUUUUACUUUUUUAACUCAAGUCUGCUGUUGUCCCAAAGUUGGAACUAGAGAUAUCAUUUCACCUCAACUGUGUUUUUUUUUUAAUUAAAAAAAUCAUUUGUUUUAGGUAUACAUACAUGUAUUUUAAUUCUAUUUUCCUUGUAAUUUCUCCUUUACUUUGAAUGAAAGUCAUUGGUGUUUUCGAAUGGGAAUUUUGCAUUAAAAAAUUAAGAAUAGUUAAUAGGAAAUUUCCUGAUUCUUUAGUUACUAUUUUUGGUAUGAGUGUAAUUAGUAGUAAAGUUGGUUUCUACUCGCAAACAAGUGAACUGCUCGAUUCCCAAGUGCUAUUAACCAGUUUCCAACUUUUUAAUAUACACUAAUUGUUCCUGUUUAAUAGCUACUACUAUUAAAACUCAACAGCUAACAAAAAUACUAAAAAAAAAUGAUUUUUUCUUAUGAUGCUGUGAAAAAAAUUACGGGUUUACUUAUUUCCACGAGAUCUUGUAUAGUGUUCUUGUAUAGUGGAAUUAAGAUUGUCUUCCCGAUGGUGCAAUUCACCCUCUUCCUUUACAGUCACUUGCACUUUGUGCAGCUUUGGUGUGGAUAAGAUUCCCAGGGAAAAAGUCUUCAUGUUCGGACAAUGUGUCACAAAUACUCGUUCCAAUGAUGGGAAUUCAAGAGUGUAAUUCUCCAAACAAAAGCUGGUAAGCCUUGGUAAAUCAUCAAGUUCCAAAAGUUUUAAUUCUUUGAAAGCAAUACGAUUCUCCUUCGUUUCUUCUCCAGCAUGUCCUACGAUUUGUUCUAAUUUUUUGCAGUUCCAUACAUAAAGAUUCACCAGACUAGUAGGAAUUCCAACCUGAAAAUAAGCAGAGAGUGUGUGUGUGUGUUAAAAAAGUAAAAAUGUAAGAGUGUCAUUCAACUAAGCUCAAAGUAUGUUUGAUAAUACAAUUAUACGUUUUAUGAACAUAACAAACUGUGAAAUGUCUACUAGAUAUUUUUUGUUAAACAAAAAACGUAACAAGAUAAAUAAAUAAAUAAAUAAAAGCCAGAUAAACAAAGAUGAUAAAAAUGUAUUUACACUAUUUAGUAUUAGGGACGUAGAAAGAAUUUAAGGCAAUUUCUAAAUAUUUUAGACUUAUUUUGCAUCUUGAUAUAAGUUUUUAAGCAUAAAUUUGCACAUUUCAACUAUUCCUUUAAAAAGAACUCAACUAAAAUGCCUCUUUUUCCCUUUUCCUUGGUCCCCUUUUUUUUAUAUAUAUAUAAAAAUGGAAAAAAAAAUUUGGAAAAGACUUCUUAGUACUGUCAACAAGGGAUUGCUGUAAAGUGGAUCUUUAUUAAGUACUUCCAGACUCGAGGAAAUUUCUUUACAAUCUCAAAAAAAUAGUAAACAAUCAUGAAUUUGUGGUUAAUUAAUGGCAUAAUCAAUUCUUAACUAAACUGGAGAUAUUAAUUAAAUUUGAAGACUUUUUUUUUCCGAUCGAAAUGUGAAGAACUAUGGAACAGAGAAAUAUAUAGAUGAAUUUGUGAACUUAUAAGAUGAGUGACUAUCCUUUAAUUUUUGAAAAUCGUACUUAUUAAGAUAUGAGCAAAAACAAUUAAAUUGAAUUAUAUUAUGCUGUUGAAUCUGUUUAAAAAAAUUAUAUUGUUGAUUCUAAUGCUGGUGAACCUAAAAACUAGACUUAAAACGUAGAUUUCAGAGUGGUGGUUUGAAGUACAAUAUUUGAAAUAAAUAAUUAGUGGCUGAAUAUCAUUUGUAAACACAGAAAUGAUUAAAAAAUUGUUGAAUGUUAUUUGAAAAAAAAAAUCGAAAUGAAUACAGAAACCUUACCAAUGGAGGAAAAAUAUUCAUUAGGUUAUCACACUCUUCUAUCUCCAAAUUCUUCAAUUUCCUGAAAGACUCUGAAGCAAGCUGGUGGUGCCAUAUUGUUCUUAGGUUAUCCAUCCACGCAAUAUAUAAUACCUCCAACCUAGGAAGUCGUACCUGGCAGUUAAAGAUUAAAUAACUAAUUAAUCAAUUAAUGGCAUAAUCAAUUGAUAACUAAAUUAGAGGCGGAUAUUAACUAAAUUUGAAGACUCAAGGAAAAGACAAAUCAAGUAUUGUGACUAAAAUUAUUUUUUUAAUUAAAAAAAAAACCUUUUCAUCAAAGAGAGGAGGAGGUUGCAUUUCAGAAUGAAUGGUAUCUUCUGGUGAGCUCGUAGAGAUGAAUCUUAACAUAUUACUGCAACAACCAAUCAUGAGGUUUAGCAAAGAAGGGAAUUCAACAACUAAAUCUGUAUGAAUAUGUCCCAUAUUGGCAAAGCUACUUAGUCUUGGAAGCCAUUCUAGCUGCAGGGAGUGUAGCUUAGGAAAAACCUUUAAUUCAAUCAACUUUCCUUCAUCUCUUUCUGACCAUCCCGUGGUGUCGACUACCCCUUCCAUUGACUCACAAUAGCUUAUCUCAAGAUGUUGGAGUUGCAAAAGGCUAUUAACCAUAGAAUAUGAAAACAGAUACUUCAGACGAUAACACCUUUCCACAGUCACUUUUGUUAAAUUUUGACAACAGUACAUUCUUUGAUUAUGAUCGGCCCAUAAUUUUUUCAUGUUUCUUAAGUCCCUGAGAUUCAAUUCCUCUAAGCUCGGAAGAAUAACCUGCAAAGAAAACCCGUACAUUUUUGUUCCUUCAAGUACAACCGUCUAGUAUAAUAUUCUUUUGAUGAUCGAAGAUUAAUCGUGAUAAUAAAUUAAUCAAUUAAUUAUUGAACAGAAAAUUAUCACCUUUGGAGCAGGAUCAUCAUCAGCAAUGAGUUCCUUGAAUCCCAAAGAAGUUGUUGGUUUGUCCAUGUCGGGUCCUAUAAACAAACAAAAACAAUAUACAUAAUUAAUCUUUGUCGUUGUCUUUUUUUUAAAAAAAUAAUUGAGGCGAAGUCCAUAAAUCCACCAACACUUAAUUUCAACACUUACCAACAAUCAUUUCCAGAUCAUCGCAAAAAAACACUUCUACCUUUUGAAGCCGCAGUAGGUUUUUGGCCAUGGAGAAUGAGAAAAGAUGCUUCAAUUCGUGACAGUCUGAUACUUUUAUAAUCCUUAAGUUGCUGAAAGAUUGAUCUUCUGUGAGUUGGAUGUCACAUAUUGUCUCCAAAUUGAUCAAACGACGAAGAGACAAUGACUCCAGCAAGGGGAAGACUUUGCGACGAACCCGUCCAACUGAACAGACAAUAUGCAAAAUCUCAGAACAACUUUUUACAGAAAGAUGCUUCAAUCGUGGAAAACCUUCCCCAUCAUCUAAUUCAUGAACAACAUUCUGAACACCCUUCAGUUCUCCUAGAUAGAGAUAUUCAGUUCUCUUCAACAACAGUUUCAUCCUGUAAUUCUGCAAAAGAAUGCCAAACUUUUCUAGCCCCUGGAGCUUCAUCAAUCUUGAUAAUCCAGUUUUAACGGACCAGCUGCUCCACCACUUAUUUCCUAUACAUAUCUUAUAGCUUUGCAAUUCCACAGAGACCAAAUCCUGCGGUAGAAUUUCGGCAUCCCGAACGUGUAUCUCCAAAGUAGUUAGCUUUGACAACCCCUUCAACUCAA
rnacentral:lncRNA from 1 species